UGGGUAUUGGUGGUGGGGUAGUAGGUGUAGGGGUUGUGGGUGGUGUUGGGUGGCGAUGGUGGUGGUGAUGGUGAAGACCAUUGUUGUUGUUGUUGUUGUUGUUGUUGUUGUUAUGGUGGUGGUGGUUAGAGUUGCUGCUAUUGCUACAGCUAGAACUGUUGGAGCUAUGAGUAUCUGGUGAUGAAAUAAGACAUGGGUUGUGAAAUUCUUGAGGUUUUGGUAAGGUUUCCAUUGAUGGGUCUGUAUCUCUAGAGAGAGAGAGCAAAUUAGCUGAAUUGAGUUGAACUUAAUAAGAGAAGCUUGAGAACAAGGGUAGUUAGCAAAGUAAGAGUUUAGUUUGGUAAGAAAUGUUUUCUUCUUCUUCCCGUUCAUCUUCACUUGUUCAACUAAUUAUUUGACUUACAAAGAAAUAGUAAAUAUUUAAAUUAAAAAAAAAUUAUCUUUUAACUUAAUAUCAAAUUAAAUCUAUAAUUUUUAAUUUAAAAUAUAUGUAAUUAAAUAUUUAAAUUUACAUAAAAUUAAAUAAAUAAAUAAAUAAAUACAUAUAUCUUAUAUGGUUUUGUACAUGAUCAAUUUUUACUGACAUCCUUCAUGUGAUAUGUUACUAUAUAAUAGCAAAAGUAAAAUGUGUAAAAAAUAAUAAAUUAUUCAUUAUUUUAAAUUAAAUAAAUAUUAUUAGAUAUCUAUUUUUAAUAUAAUGAACCAAAAAUGUUGAAUAAAUAAAAUAAUAAAUAAUAAAGUAUUUAAUAGAUAGGAUUAAAUAAGCACAAAAUAUUAAAUUAUUUAUAAAUUUUGCAAGUUGAACAAAUAUCAUUCAACAUUCAUUUUUUAUAGUGCGAAAAUUAUUGUCACCUCCAAAUAUUAAUUUAAAAAUUAAACUCUCUCCUAAAUUUUCAACAAUAAUCAACUUUCUUUGAUUUUAUAUAAUAGCUAUUUUAUUCGUGUUAUAUUAAAUAUAUUUAUGUAAUACCUCUUUAUAUUAUAUACAAUUUAUUAUUUUAACCUACCUAUUCAUAACUUUUAUUUAGGUUCAUUAACAUUAUAAGUAGAAUAAUACUUUUAUGGAUUUAUCACUAAAUUUAAUGUUAUUUUAAUGACUAUUAUUUCAAUAUUAUAUGCAGAUACGCUACAUAAACAUGCCCUUUACCUUGACGUCAGAUUACAUUUAUGAUCUUCGACUUUGGGUGUGUAAAAAUAAGCUCUUAAACUAGUAUAAAGUUGAACAAGUAGACACAUAUGUCCCAUGCAGCAUUCUACGUGGUCAAUUCUUGUCCUACGUGUAUUAUGCCACAUAGGACGUGUGUGCCUAUUUACUCAACUUUAUAAAAGUUUAAGUGCUUACUUGUGCACACCCAAAGUUCAAUGGCGGAUGUAGAGUAGAAGGUGUCCUACACCCGCUACCGUAAGGCUUAAAAUUACAUAGAAAAAUCAUCAAAAGUUAUAAAUAUUAAUAGGUGGGAACUCAUAACUAAACCAAGGGAUAGCUUAGUGGUAGGAAAGGCCCUUGGGAACCCACAAGUUUGAAAUUCUGGAUCCGCCUCUGUCAAAGUUAGAGGUCAUAGAUAUGAUUUGAGGUUAAGUUAAAGGACAUGUUUAUGUAUUAUUUAAGGGUGUGCAUCGAUCGAUUUGGUUCGAUUUUAUAUAUUAUCGGUUUGAUUUAUCGAUUUUCAGUUUUUAAAUAUGUUAAACCAAUAACCAAAUCGAUAAGAUAUUUUUUUUCGAUUUUCGAUUUAUCGAUUUUUAGUCCUUAUUGGUUCGAUUUUCGGCUAAACCGAUAAGAAAUACUCAUAAAAUAGAAAAAGUAGUAACUAGCAUGAAAAAAAUUUGAAUCUUAGUUGUAACAAAAAAAUCCUACAUGAUGUGUUUUAAUUCACAAGAAUCUUCAAGUUUGAACUAAAUGUUGUUAGGAGAAUUUAAGAGUUUGUAUAAUUGAAAUAAUAGGUUUGUUAAUUUAUAGAAAUUAAGAUUACGAAAAUCGAACCGAACCAAUAACCCAAUAAUUUCUUUUUAUAAAAUUAUUAAAAAUUCAUUAACCCAAUAACUCAAUAACAAUAAAUCAAUAACAUUUUUAUCAGUUUGGUUUAUCGGUCGACUCGUUUUUUGCACACCCUAUGUAUUAUGUCUUAUAUGUAUUAAGUGUGAAUAUAUAUGUACAUACAAGUGCAUUAUUUUUUGUCUUUUUUCACUCUCUUACUCCAAGCAUUUUAUAUUAUUUGGCCCUUCUUGAAAAGAAACAUUUCUUUUAAGAAAAAAAUAAUUAGAGCGUAUUUUAUUAAAUUAAUCUUGUUAAUAAAUUUUGAAACUUUAAAUUUGACACUGACUACUCUAUGCAGUUACUUAAAAUAUAUAUAUAAGAAAACAACAUUAAAAAGUUCUUUUGAUUUCAUAAAUUGAACAAGUAAUUAAACAUAAAUCUUUUAGUAUGAGGAUCAAAUAAUAUGAAACUGAAGGAGUAUUAUCCAUUGUCCAUAUAAAUAAAUAAAUUUUAAUUAUUAUUAAUGGAGUAUUACAUAAAUUACAAUUUAAAAUCAAAAUUCAAUAAAUACUAUCUAAAAAUUUGACCUUAGGUUAUUUUUUCUUUUAUCCUGCAUCGAAGUAUAUUUGUAUAGUUAUUACUUGUAUAAAUAAAUAUUGGAGUAUUAAUUAUUAUCAAUAAAAAUAAUUUUCUCAUUAUGUUAAUUAUUUUACUAUAGAAUAUUAUUAAUUUAUAUAUUUAAUUAGUAUUUCUCAUUUUUUUGUUCAAAAAAAUAUUUAUAUUUUUAUGAAAAAAUUAGUACAUGAUUUACUUUUAAAAAAAUGAAAAUGUCAUGAUCUUUUAAGAAAGAAAAAAAAGAAAAAGUUGAUAAUGAACGAAUAUAAUAAGAAUCGUUUGAUGUGACUAUAAGGUAUAAUAAUAUCGGGAUAAAUUGUGAUUACUGUAACGACAGGAUGCCGGCGAUUUCUUUAGUGGGGGAGGCAGUGGCUGAGUUGGGUGGUGGUACGCGGCGGUGGUGGAAUGUGAGAGUGAAAGUCCAACUGGUAACAGCCUAUUGGAACUUAGACCAAAGGAAAAAAAUAAAAUAUUACUCCACUAUGUGAGAAAUUAAAGUUUCAAUGUUUGCCAUUGACUUAAAGGGACCUACUUGAAAUUGAAAGCUGACGAUAUAUUAAUAUGUGAGGUGGGUCCCUAUUCUUUGUUUUUAUAUUACAAUUUUUUGUUUCUAUAUGUUCUUUGGCUUUGUGGAAAGUGGUGCACUAAUCAAGGUUUAGAAUAAAACCUGAUACUAAUUUUAAAAUUAACUUUUGAUUCUUUCUUUGAGUGAUCCAAGUUCUAUGUAAAUAUACUAGUCCAAUUUUGUCUUGUGUCUAGGGAUCUUUCUCCUCAAAUGCCAACUCUCAAACAUGAGUUUUUCAAAUGAAAGCUAGCCUCAUUUGUCCAUAAAAAUAAUAAUUUUUUAAUUUAUAUUUGACCAUUAAUAUAUAUUAACGUUGUUUUUAAAAUUUUGUGAAAGAAAUAAAAAUAAAAAAAGUAAAAACAAAACUUAGUUUCAAAACAAUUUUCACAAAAAUUUAUAUGUAAUUCAAGAUGGAGGUGUUAUUUUUCUUUCAACCAAAUAGUAUCCAAAAUUUUCUUUCACUCAUUAAUGAUUAACAAUUGAAGACGAAGGUGGGGUAACUUGCUCUUUGUUUUUAUUGAUAAUUCUUCAUUUGAGUAAAACCUGAAAAUACCAAUUGCUUUUAUGGAAUAAGUCUCUUAUAGUAAACACAUAAAUAUGUCUUGUCCCCAAACUUACUUUCCGAAUGCUAGAAAGAAAAGUUUAGCAGCGAUUUCACCAUAAAAAUUAAAAAAUUUUGAAGUUGAAGUUGUAUUUGGUCUUUUUUUUUUUUUUUUUUUUUUUUUUAACUUUUAAAAAAAAAAAAUUUAAAUAUAAUUUUAUGCCCCAACUUUUACAAACUAUCAAAAUCACUCAACUAAAAUUUACCUACUAACGAGAAAAGAACACAAUUAGCAACUUUUAUAAAAAUAAUUACAUAUACAUGGCCAUAUUUAAUAAAUUUCAAUUAUGACAUAUAUAAUAUUUACAUUAAUAGUCGUUUUCUCAUAUUUAAAAAUUUUCAAUAUGAAUGUUAUAUUAACAGAUCAAUGUUUCCUAUUUUUUAGAUAACAAAUAUUAUCUUUCAAACAAAUUCAUUUUUUUAGAAAUUUAUUUAAUUUAUUUUCUUUAUUUUUCGUUCCUAAAAAAUAGAAAAUGAUGAGUUGUUAUUAAAUUUUAGGGUGCCGCUAAUUUAUUUCUUUAAUUUUCUUAUACAUGAAAGAUUUUACUGUGUGUGAAUAAAUUAUUUCUAUGUAAAACAUACUUUGCAUAUUUAUGGUAUAUUAUAUCAUAUACCAUAAAUAUAUAAACAUGCUUAGUAUGUUUCUUUAUACUUUGUAUAUUUAUAUAUGUGUGUAUAUGGUAUAUACAUGGUACAAAUUUCAUAUAUAACAUACUUUGUAUAUUAAUGUUAUAAAUAUGCGUAGUAUGUUUCUUAAUACUUUGUAUAUUUAUAUAAUGAUAUAAACUUUAUAUAUAACAUACUUUGUAUAUUUCUGCUAUAAAUAUAAUAUUUUAUUUAUUUAUGAGUGUAAAUAUAAUAUUUUGUGUGUAAAGAUACCAAGUAUUAUGGUAUACAAAGGUAACAGUUGCAGUUUAAGGUAUAAAUUUGUUAAAUUGGACAUUUUUUUUUUAUGAAAAAUAUGUAUCACCAAUUUAUUUUUGUAGCAUAUAUAUGGUAUAAAUUAUUUAUAUUUGAAUAGUAUAAUAAAGAUAAUCAAAUUAAAAAUGAGAAUAAUUUGUGAUAGUGGUAAACUAAUCUGCUACAACUUUAUUAAUUCCAUAAAUAUAGAAAACGAUUAUCCAUUAUUAAUUACACGACUAUAAUUCCUUAAACGUCCGUAUCAUAACAGAAAAAUUAUUAUUGUUAUUAUAUUAUAGUAAUUAGGAUCAUUAGCAGUAAAUAAUGUCUUAGAUAAGGGAGAAAAUUAAAUAAGAGAGAAAAAUAAUGAUGAGAGAGAAGAAGAGAUAUAUAUUAAUUAGGAUAACAUUAAGUUUGAAAUUAUAAUUAUCUUAUUCUUUAAAACUGUUAUAUACGUAAUAUUGAAAAAAUAAUGUUAUAAGGAGAAUUUUAUGUAAAAUUUUAAAAAUUGGGAUUAUAUGUAAUAAUAAUAAAAGUUGGAAUUGAAAAAUUUUGAAAACACCAAAAAUCUAUUUUCCCUUUUCAAUUUUUUUUUUGAAAUUAUUUUCUGAAUUUUCAUGACCAAACACCACAAAUUUCAACUCUAAAAAAUUUUUCCAAAAAAAAAAAGAAAAAAAAUUUCAUGGUGAAACGGUCCCCUUAAAUAUCCAGUUAUGUUAUUUCUCUUCUUUCGUUCAUCCAUAAGGCCGUAAUCAUUUUAAAUAUCCAGUGAAUCAUUGUUUUUAGUGUAGACAACUUGAUUUUAAUCAAAUUUGAUACUUUUUUUUCUCAAUAUUAUUUCACACUUUAGGAUAAGGGGUAAGUAUUUCUUUAUUAUUUUUAAUCAAAGAUUUCAGGCUCAAGUCAUAGUAUUAGCACAUCGUCUUUGCGGGGAAUAUUUUAUCCUCAAUGUAAUCUAUACAAAUUAAAUUUAAUCGAACUCAAAUUUCAUGUAGGGUGAAGGUGGAAAUAGAAAAGACAUAAUAUGUUUGGUCAUACUUCUAAAAUAAACUUAUUUUAAAAAGUUUUUUUCAAAAGAAUGUUUUUGGUGGGAAUCAAUUUUGUUUGACCAAUAAAUUUAUAAAGUAAUGAGCAACAAUUAGCGUUUGAUCAAACUUUUUAAAAGUAUUUUUCUGAAAAGUGUUUUUCAAAGAAGUGUUUUAAAGAGAAACAACCUUUUUUUUUAGUUUAUGAAAAGCUGUUUUUUCUGCUUCUCAGAAACACUUAUUUUUUUUUCAAAAGUUUGACCAAAAACCUCAUCUUUUUUAAAAGAAAAUAUUUUAAAUGAAAAAUAAACACUUUUUUAAGAAAAUUAAAAUUGAUCAAACAGGCCAAUAGUCAAUAUUCAAAUUAUUAAAAUGCUCAUAGUCAUGUGAGGGCACAUAUUUUAAUUUUUCCAGUAAACAAAUGUUGCAAAGACUUGUGAUUAACAAAUUGUAGUAAGAAAAUUGUAAUGCUUAAAUCACAUAUAAUGAAAUCCAAAAUCACUAGUACAGAUGCUACCAUUUACUGUAAUUAAAUUUCUUAAUGGGCUUUAAUAUAUGUAAACUUGACCGUUUAUUUACUUUUAUUAAUUGACAUUUACACUUAAUUAUUAGCCCACUAGCUUUCUAGACCAACUUUUUAAAACAUAUUUUAGCAAGUUGGCAUAAUUUUGUUGACUCAUUUGUAUCUUUUUCUAAGGUUUUGUCAUAAAUAACAAAUUGCCGAAUUUCCCAUAUGAAAAUAACGGCUCUUAUAUUCGGUACUAUCAUAUAUAUGGGAUUAUAAUUAGCUUACAUCACCAGCCAAUACUUUAGUAUUUCUAUUUGGAGACACAUUUUUCUAGUGUAAUAUAUGUGAAAAAUAAAAGUUUUCAUUUUGCUACCCAGCUCAUUAAAAAAGAAAAUUUUCACCUACUUUACGCUAUAUUAAAAUCUGCUUUAACUUAUUUCACUUUACUAAAAGGUCAAUAAAUCCAUGUUUUCGUCCUCUAGUUACGGUUCGGCUUGCUUUAAAUAAAUUAAAAUGAUGUAACUGUAUUAUUGCUGUUAAAGAGCUGAGCUAUGAAUAUAAUUUGAAUCCUAAAAGGUAAGUUCAACAAUAACAACAUACAUUAACAAUGUACUAACAUAAGGGUGUGUUUGGUUUAGAGGAAAAACGUUUUUGAAUUUUCUCAUACGCAUAUUUGUUGACUUAUAUAUUUUGAAAAAUGCUUUUCAUAUAGAUUUAUUUUCCUCAAUUUUAAGAAAAUUGACUUCCCUUCAUAAAUUAAAGAAAAUAUUUUUCAAAACUCUCUUACAACUUCACCACCCGAACCCAAAUCAAGUCCCUGGGCCUAACUCCGAAUUACAACCCGAGAUCAGAGACCCAACUCCCAAUCCCGACCCCAAUCUUGACCCUUGGCCUCAGCCCUGCGACACCCACCAUGAUCCGACUUUGAACUUCCAACAUGGUCUAGGGUUAGGGCAGGGUCUCAGGUUGGAGUCGAGGUCGACAGUCGGGUUCUAAAGAGGGAUCAGGAGUCAGUUCUCUGAUCAAGUUCGGGAGUUAGGACUCAAGUCGAGGUCAUUAGUCGGGGUCGAGGUCUAAGAUUUGGGGUGAGGUUCAAGAGUCGAGCCUCGGGUUGAGUCAAGAAUCGGUUCUAGAGUCAAAAUUGAAUCUAUGUGACUCAAUCUAUGUGACUCAGGUCAGAUCGAUAUAUAGUUGGGUCUCGGGUCAUGACAUAGUCUGGUCUUCGAUUGAGUGUCGAGAGUCGAGUUCAAGGAUCGGGUCCCAGGUUGAGGUUGCUAGUUGAGGCCCACGUCAGGUUUAACAACAGUGGUCAAGAUAAGAAUUCGAUUCACACAUCGAUGUUUGAUUGAAGUCUCAAAUCUCGGAUUAGAGUCGAGAUUGGGAGUUGAUCUCGAGUCAAGGUUGGAUCCUGGAUAUAGCUAGGCUCGUGGAAUAAGAUGAGGUGCUGAGUGGUAGAGGAGAGUCUAAUCUUGAGUCAGGGUCGGGAGUAGAGUUCGAGGGUGGGGUCAUGUCUCGGGUACGGGUGGGGAAUUGGGACCUAGGUCAGCAUAAAGAGUUAGGUCUCGAAUCAAGGUCGAAUCUCGGAUCCCGAGUUUUGCAUUGGGGUCACGUUCUGAAUUUGGUUCUCGGGGUCGUGAAUUGUGUUUCAAGUUGAGGUUAAGAGUCGAAUCUCGGAUCGAGGUACAAAUUUGGAAUUUGCAAUCUUCAAACAUUUGUGUAUGUAUUAUAAUUGUGAUAUUUUUUUAUUUCACACUCCAUAUGGAAUAUCAAUCCCAAAAUUAAACAUCAAAGUAACACAAAUUUAAAAUAAAAUUCAAUCUUAUACCGUUCAAAGUCAUACAUAUUUUAUAUCAGAUUCCUUACAUCUUUGAGUUUAGUCUAAUUUGUUACUAAAUAGUUAUUUUUCAGUCCAAUAUUGGUAAUUCCUUUUAUUAUUAAUACCAAAAUAACUUGUUCACCAACCAUUUGACUCUAUUUUUUCAACUCUACCUAGGGGCUUCCACCUUUUUGCUCAAUUGGUGAUUCAAACUCACAAUAUUAAAAUUAAAAAAAUAAAGGAUAUUUAUCAUCCGAGCAACCCUCUCUUGUCUUGUCGGUUGUCACCAAGUGACUCUAUAGCUUUCUCUGUUGAAGUUUGUUUUCUAUAAGAAAAACAUAGAGAGUCAUAGUCUAAAAUUUAGCAUAUGAUUCCCCUAAAUAAAUUUUGUUCACGAGAACAAUGAGGCGUUCAUCUUGUUCGAACAUUUCCAUUUUAAAUUUCAGCUAGCACUCUAGGGCAUAUAAUAUAAUUGGAACUAGAAUUUGUAAAGUGAGGUACAAGAUGCCCAAGACUACGUAUUUUAGUGAUUCACUCUAGGUCUCCAACUAGAGCCCCUCCCAAAAUAAAUUUAAGAAUAUGCAAAAUUUGGUAAUGAUAUGACAUACAAAACAGAAAGAAGAGAAAAUAAAACAAGCAUUGAAUUAAAGAAUAGUGAAUCAAAUUCUUCACUAACUUGAAAGACAAUAUGAAUUUCCACAAAGAACAAAAGUGACCACCAUUAAUAUCAUAGAGCUGCUUUUAGAAAAUGGACCUUUUCUUUUUGUGCUGAUCUCACUAGAAUUCACAGCAUCAUUUUUUUUUUUUGGUUGUGUGCGUACUUAUUCGUUAAUAAUGCUAUUUUUGCUAAGAAAUGAAGAAAAAAAAAGGUUUAUUUUAUAUUUUUCAUUUGGUUUGGGCAGUAUUGACCAAUCAAAAGCAAAUGAUGGGAUGGAGCAAUAUGUUGCCAAUUAGUAAUUAAGCAUCUUAAAAGAGAACAAGGAUAUACAAAAGGAAAUUAAAAUGUGUAAUAACCUUAUGCUAAGAUUUCUUUACUAUUAACAAAAAGAGUAAUAUUCUGUAGUUACCAAACUUCUAAAUAAGCUUAUUUUCAUUUCUUAAGUAUUAACAAAAAUUUUCUUUUGAUGCUUGUUAUAUACAAGAAUAUACUUAAUUCUCAACUAAUUAAAAUAUGUGAUCUUGGUAAUCAAACCGUGAAAUAGAGUAGUAAUUUUAAAAUUCUAUAAAUAUUCAUAAGCUAGAGAUAAAAAUACACAUUUCAAAUAGUUUAAAGGUAAAUAUACUUCGUCAUAUAUCAUGAUAUUGGGUUUAAGUUGAAUGUAUGAAUGGAAAAUGAAGGAAAUUAGUGGAGAAAAAGUGAGAUCAAACCUAAAAGGAAAGUGUACUCACAAUAAAGAAGGUUUACUAAUUCUCCCACAUUGGUGGGAGAAAGAAACUCUCAUGUGUUCUUAUUAAGAAACACCACUCCACUUAGACAGUGAGGCAAGAACCAAAAGGUGUCUCACAUUGUUAUUUCUUGCUAGACUCCAACUUUGGCUUGAUCAAAUGAUCGAUGAGAUUAAUUUUUUAGACAAAAUUUAUUUGAAACUUGUAAAAACAAGUGAAUUUUAUUAAUCCGAAAAAUUCAAAGAAAAAAACGAAAAAUACGCCAUGCAGAUGCAUGUAGAAAAGCAAAACAUUAAAAGGGGUGACUGUUCGGUCGAUGCGACUGUUCCAAAGGGAUACACUUUUCCGAUGAACCAUUGCUUUCUUCUGUAAGAGGCACUUGAUGACUAUAAAUACCUGCAUUUUCUCCACAGAUAGGAACAAAAAUUUUCAGAAUUGAAAAUACUUUUCUACUUCCAAAAACUCAUUGUGAUCAAGCUGCUGUUGAGUGUGUUCGACGAAUUCGAUAGUUUGAGGUACCGCUACUGACAAAUUGUGAACCAUUUUAUCCUGGGACAAAAAAAUUCACAACCUCGGGCACUUGAGGGGAAUUAAUUCCUUAAGGCCACUCCGUGAAGUCGGAGGACUUAGCUCUUAUUCUGUUUCAUCUUAUUUCUUUUACAUAACAUAACGUACUUCUUUGAUAGUUCUUGUUGAAGAUGUUAAAAACUUUAUUGUUGUUCUUGAAAAAGUCUUGAACUUGUGUUGAAAUUUAAUAUAUAAACAUACAGAUUGUGUAUCUGAAACAACACUGAAAGAUUGAAAUAAAAUUCAUCAAAAACUAAGGAACCAAAACGGUAAUUAACCCAAAAUAUCAUCGAAAUCUCUCUUGUUUUGGUCUAAGCUAGAAAUUUAAAUUAGCUUUCUUCAAUUAUUUUCUUGUUUCACACCAAACUAAACAAAAGGAAGAAAAUCACUUCUAUCAAUUCUUAUUUCUUUCCUUCUAUUUUCCUUUUCCUUUCUCUUCUAUAUCCGUAAUAUCCAAACGCAAGAGUCAAGAAGCUGCCUAAUAAUUGGAUUUUUUUUUUUUAAAUAUAAUCAAAAUGAACAUAAUAAAUUACCACAAAAGUUCAAAUAUGAGGAUAGUGGAAGUCAUACCAUAAAAUGAUAUAUUGUUGGUUUUAUCAAGGGAAUUACAAGUCUUAUGUUGAAUCAGUAAUAUACAAGAAAAAAUAAUUCAAAAAUGGAAGUAUCUUAGUAUGAAUACGUAGUUAAAUAAAGCAUAUUCGACUUAAUAUAUAUAACCACAAUGAAAAGCAUUGGAAUUGGUCCAAUAAUAUCAAGAGAAAACAAUGCAAGCUUCAAACAACGACCUAUAUUUAAAUCUCUUAUUGAUUUGAAAAUAGAAUUUCAACCUAGAUUUAGUCAAUUUCUAACAGUCCUAAACAACAUAGCCCUCAUACUAUUCUAGAUAGGAUUAAGACAGAAUUAAAAAAAUUUGUAAUUACUUUCACUAACAAAAAGUUAAGGUACUAGAUCUCCACCUUGUCAAGUCAAUUACUAUAUAAUAUUCACCCUAUUGUUGAAUGAAAAAGGCUAAUUAUUCCAAAAGAAAAACAUUUGGAAAUGGAAUAAUAUGUAAAGAAAAGUAUUAUACGUAGCAAAAGGAAUCGUUCUUUAAGUGGAAUUGAAAGUCGUUUGUUUUUUCUUUUAAAUGGUUAGCAAUUACCUCAAAAGUCGUUGAAAUUCGGUGCCCAAAAUUAAGAAUAAGAUUUUAAAAAAAAGCACAAUUUUUUUUUGUCUCUGUGUUAAAAAGAAAAUUAAAGCAGAUGAAGAUUCAGACUUUAGUGAAAAACUAUCCGCACUUGGUAUUCGUACAAAAUUAUAUGAAUUUAUUAUUUUUAAGUAAUUUAUGAGGUAACAUGUUUGCAUGUUAAUUACUAGUCAUGAUUAAAUCUUACAAAUUUAUCGAUGAACACAUAUAGAUAUAUUUAUUGAUUUGAUGUAAAUAUUAUAUGCAAAUAAUUUUUUACCUUUAAGAAUUAUAUUUGCACAAAUCUGAAGCUUCGUGCGCUAUUAUUUUAAGGACCCGUUUGAACAAAAAUAGUUUCGGCGCUUGCCAAUUUGGUAAGACUUAGUGAACAAUUGAUCAAUAAUAUAAAACAAUUACCCCCAAGUUAUCAAUCUGGCAAGAUUAGUGAAUAAUUUGAUAAAAUGGAAAAUGAAGAUGAUAUUUUCUUCAAGAUCUCUUAAAACACCUGUGACUUAUGGGCUUGAAAAGUUGCCCAUCACUUCAAUGUUUUCACCAAUCCAAGAGAGCUAAUGGGCCAAGAGAUAUGAUAAGAGAGCUACAACAUGCCUAAAAAUAUGUAAUUUUCGUGAGACACCCGAAAGGCAAAAAAAAAAAAAAAAUACUCUCUCCGUUUAAAAUAGAAUGAUCGAUUUUUUUUUUUAGUUCAUUUAAAAAAGAAUGUUCCUUUUUCUUUUUUGGUAAUACUUUAAUUUCAACUUUCCACAUGACAUGUUUAGGAACAUAAGAUUAAAGGGCAUUUUGGUACAUUUGACACAAGGCCACAAGAUUCAAAAAUUUUCUUUAUUUUCUUAAACUUUAUGUCAAGUCAAAGUAGGUUAUUUUUUUUUGAAACGGAAGGAGUAGUAUUUAACAACAUGCAAAAAAUAAAAUAAAAUGUUGAGCACCGUACUUAUUAGAUAUAAAAGUUCAGACUGUAUCUAGAAGCAGAAGGAGAGAUUAAGAAGAAAUGAAUCAAAUUCUUCACUACCUUUGAAAGCCCAAAAAAAAAUAAAAAAAUCCCACAAAGAAAAUAAAGUGACCACUAACUUCGUAGUGCGGCCGUUUCUUUUCUUAGACAAAAAUUAAAAAGGUGAAUUUUUUCUUUUGUGCUGAUAUCACUAAAAUCAAAUCUUAUGUUCAUAAUUUUGUAUACAUGUAUUUGAUUAAAAAUGAUUUGUGAGGAAGAGAUAAAUAAAAAAAAGUUGAUUGAUUAUAUGCAUUUUGUUUGGUUAAAGAUUUAGCAAUCAAGUUUAUUAACCAUAUCUCUAGUUUCAAAAUAGUUCGCCUUUAUUGACUUGAUAUUCUCUUAAGAUUAAAUUUAUCAGAAGCUUAUUUUAGCAAAUUAACCUUACUAAUUAUUUUUUGAAAAUGUAAAUUUAAAUAUAUACACUUUAGACGUGGAUCAAGAAUUAGCUUGUUUUAUGGGAGUGUUAGAGUAGUGACUCAUGGGCUAGAAAUGUACGUGAAUCCAACUUCAUAUGUCGAUGAAGGUCCACAAUUUGGAAAGGCAUAAUAGGCCCAAUUUUCAUAUUUGGGCUCAAACUUAAUAUCACCCAAUGAUCCAACGAUACAGCUCUAUUGUAUCAGAUCUCUAGGUUUUUGGGUCUAUAAAAUAAGAAAAUGGGUAAAUAACAUAUACAUACAUCUUAACUUAUCAUAUUUACACGAAAUUUCACCUUUCCAUAGUAAUUACAAAAAUUUCAACUUCUCUUUUUAUCUUUAAAAUACAUAAAUAACACUACCCCAAAAUCCUAAAUCCAAUUCGUCUUUUUCUUCCAUAUCAGCUGCCCCAAAUUCCAAAUCCAAUUCAAACACCCUUUUCCCCCUUUUCAAAAUAUUUGUUUUUAGUUUCUAAAGAUUUUUUAGCAAGAUUUCUUAAACGGAGGUUCGUAGGAAUCAAUACAAGGUUCUGUCAACACUAAGAAAGGUCGUUGUCGCCGUUGCAUAUUGUUUACCAUCGAUAUGGGACAAUUAAACUGUAAGUGGGUUAAGAGCACGCAUUAUGACCUAACUUUGAGUUAGUAGUAAAAGUUUGCAAAUUAACAAGUAAAUAAUAUUAUCCACAAAGAAAGUAAAGUUUGAGAACAAAUUUAGAACGACAACGCAUAACGUAAUUAAAUCGAGAUUCCUUAGUCACGAGCCGGUCUUGACCGGAGUUAAUAUUGUUGGAAUUAAGUAGCUACAUAGAUACAUACAAAUGUAUAUCUUUUGUUUUACACUGACUGGAGUAGAAUUUUGGACUUAGUCAAUAAUUUGGGCCAAUCCAUUAUUAUUCAAUAAGAAUGAUUAUUCUUUGUUCACAAAGAGGGUUAAUGGUUCUCUUACUUUUUUGGUUGUAUAAGUUGAUAAUAUCUUCCUUGCUGGGGAUGAUAUAUCUGACUUGGAUGAUUUAAAAUUAUUUCUGGACAUUCAAUUCAAGAUCAAAGAUCUUGGUUUAGUCCAUUAUUUUCUGGGCUUGGAGAUAUCCUCCUAUCCUCAAGGCUAUCUUAUGACUCGGCACAAGUUUACCUCUGAUUUAUUAGUUGAGUUUCGUUGUGAUCAAUUUUCACCUGUCUCUGCCCCACUGGAUACUUCCUUGAAACUUACUACUGACAUGGGUGCUCUUUUCACUGAUCCUUCCACUUUUCAUCGCUUUGUUGACAAGCUGAAUUUUCUUCAGCACACUCGAUCUGACAUUUCAAAUGUUGUUCAACAUUUGAGUAAGUUCUUAUAGGCUCCUGAAGUCCCACAUCUUGUGGCUGGCAUUCAUGUAUUUAGAUACUUACUCAAUGCUCCUGACCUUGGUUUGUUGUUUAAUAAUUCUAUGGAUUAUUCCUUAUUGGCUUAUUUUGAUUUUGAUUGGGCUGCGUGUGCGAAUUCACGCCGGUCAGUCACUGGAUUUUUCAUCACUUUGGGUGGCUCUCCUGUAUCAUGGAAAAGUAUGAAACAACCCACAAUCUUUCUUUCAUCUGUUGAGGCUGAGUAUCAUGCCUUAUGCAAAGUUGUGGUUAAAUUAUCAAGGUUGUUGCGUCUCUUAUAUGAUUUUGAUGUUGAUGUUUCGAACCAUGUUCCUGUAUAUUGUGACAGUCAAGAGCUCUUCAAAUAACUCGUAACCCUGAUUUUCAUGAACGCACCAAGCACAUCGAGACGGACUGCCACAUUAUUCGUGAUAGUGUUCACUGCGGCCUUGUCUCUCUUCAUUUCAUCGCUUCCGCAGACUAGUUGGCUGACAUUUUCACUUAGUCACUCCCAGGUCCAGCUCAUCAUGGCAUCCUCUGCAAGCUUGGUGUGCUUACACCCUCCAGCUUGAGGGAGGUGUUGGAAUUACGUGGCUAUAUAGAUACAUACAAAUGUAUAUCUUUUGUUUUACACUUACUGAUGUAUAAUUUUAGACUUAGUCAAUAAUUUGGGCCGGUCCAUUAUUAUGUCAUAUUGGGCCUUAUAUGUCUGUACACAUAUUGAUGACACGGUCCACUAUUACAAAGUUAAAUUGUAACACCCCGUAUUCAAGAACGUGUAUUGGCGUAUUCAAGUACGUGUAUUGGUCUUAUUUAUAUGGAAUUAAUUUUUUUUAUUUUAUUUAUACCGAAAUAUGUCCGUUGAUGGUUUUAUGCGAAGGUUAUUGAAUAAUUUUUUCAACGAUAUAAAGAUUUCCAAAAGUGGAUAGGUUUCGGAUAUAAUCGAGUACGUUCGAAACUAUAAAACGGUGGCCGAGAUAUUUGGGAAUAGUAAAUGUGCAGGAAAAUUUCCUGCACACAAAUUACUGAGGCCAGCCGAAUUUUUGGGUCAACUUUGAAUGAUCAUAAAUCCUUUAAUAUAAUGAACUGGGAGAGCUGCGACCUAUGAAAAGAAAGAUCUUUGAGUCUUCUUUCCAAUGCAAUUGGUUUCAUCCAANNNNNNNNNNNNNNNNNNNNNNNNNNNNNNNNNNNNNNNNNNNNNNNNNNNNNNNNNNNNNNNNNNNNNNNNNNNNNNNNNNNNNNNNNNNNNNNNNNNNNNNNNNNNNNNNNNNNNNNNNNNNNNNNNNNNNNNNNNNNNNNNNNNNNNNNNNNNNNNNNNNNNNNNNNNNNNNNNNNNNNNNNNNNNNNNNNNNNNNNNNNNNNCUUAUCAAAACAGUCCACCAAAGAACAGGUUUGACAUUAUUUAAGUUUUAAAGGCAUUUUGGUCAUUUCCUAUUAUAUUAUGGACGGGAAUAUGUGUAUAUAUACAUGUAUAUGAGUUCAAAAAUUCAUUUUCAUCAUCAAUCAUUGAGAAAGAACAAACCCUAGCCAAAUUUGACCUUUAAAUUACUUUUGAUUCAACUGUAGAAAUUCCAAAGUAAUUCGAUAACUGCGUUUGUCAUCUCGAGAGCUUCGAACGGCACCUAUUAUUUGUGCAAAUAGGAUUGCAUAAUCAAGAGGUGAAUUCUAAGGUAUGAAUAUUGUUUGUCUUUGUUCUCUUCCAUAUGUAUAUGUGUGAUAGAGGAUUAUAUGUAUUGGUUGUUAUUGAAAGGUGAUGAAAAUAGGGUUAUGGACUAUUUUGCAUGGUUUGGUUGUAUUGAAUUGUGGAAGGUGGAUAUGGUAAUUGAGUUAUGGAAGGUGGAUAUGGUGAUAUACUAUUGAAUUGAUGAUUAUUUAUGUCUAUGGCUCAAUUUGGUUUAAUGGAUUGGUUGGAAGGAUAAAUGAAUCCAAACUUGAUAUUGGAGGAUGUUGUAUGAAUAUGCAUGGCAUGUGAAUGUAAUUGGAGUAUAAGAGGGUUAAAGUGACACCCUUUAUGGUGUAAUUAAGGCUUACUACUUAACCACUAGUUUGGUGAAUUCAAAUAAUUGAAUUGUGACGUUUGGUUGCUAAUACUAGAUUGCUAUAUAUGUUCAUUGUAGAUAAGUAAUCCAAAAAGAUGAGAAGUCCAUUUGGGACUAGUAUUGAAGGUUGACAGUCAGGUAUGUAAAGCAUACUCUAUACCAUAUCUUUGUCAUGAAAGUGAACAAUUGUUCUAUUAAGAAAGUUUCCAAAGUUAUUCAGUAACAUGUGAUCCAUAAUGGUUUUGUAUGAUGUCCUACGUUACCAAUGAACUUGUUUCCACCCUACUAGAUGUCAAGAUAUUCCAAUACUUACCUGUUUUCCAAAUCUUACAUGUUUAUUACACUAAUGAAUGUCAGAAAGUAUUCGGUUACUCAAACAAGAUCCUUGUGCUAUUAAUGACUCCAAAACGUUUCACUGAUAUACCAAUAAGUUCCUACUUCAUUAUUAUGGCAUUGAUGACUCCAAAACACUUCAUUGAUGUGCCAAUGAGUUCUUACUUCAUUGUUAUUGCAUUGAUAGUCUAUUUAUAUGUCUCUUAUUAAUGUAUCAUUGUUUCAAAGUAUAAAAAAUGCGGUGGCGACCGAAAUAACAAUCUCAAAGAUUAAUUGAACNNNNNNNNNNNNNNNNNNNNNNNNNNNNNNNNNNNNNNNNNNNNNNNNNNNNNNNNNNNNNNNNNNNNNNNNNNNNNNNNNNNNNNNNNNNNNNNNNNNNNNNNNNNNNNNNNNNNNNNNNNNNNNNNNNNNNNNNNNNNNNNNNNNNNNNNNNNNNNNNNNNNNNNNNNNNNNNNNNNNNNNNNNNNNNNNNNNNNNNNNNNNNNNNNNNNNNNNNNNNNNNNNNNNNNNNNNNNNNNNNNNNNNNNNNNNNNNNNNNNNNNNNNNNNNNNNNNNNNNNNNNNNNNNNNNNNNNNNNNNNNNNNNNNNNNNNNNNNNNNNNNNNNNNNNNNNNNNNNNNNNNNNNNNNNNNNNNNNNNNNNNNNNNNNNNNNNNNNNNNNNNNNNNNNNNNNNNNNNNNNNNNNNNNNNNNNNNNNNNNNNNNNNNNNNNNNNNNNNNNNNNNNNNNNNNNNNNNNNNNNNNNNNNNNNNNNNNNNNNNNNNNNNNNNNNNNNNNNNNNNNNNNNNNNNNNNNUGUCAUAUCCAGUCACUUUUGGUAUUGUAUAAAAGUUAGUUAUAUGGCGGGGUGUGUCCCGACCUUAGUUAAACUCUGUGUAUUGUCUAGAGGCUUUGUCGACCUAAUGUAUAGUCAAGGUGGUGUUUUGUUAAUAGACGUGAUGGCUCCAAUGACCAAGUAUUGUAUAUACAUAUAUAUGUGUGCUCGAGCUUAUACAGAUGAUUAUUUCCUUUUAUAUGCGACAUGAUGCUGUCCGAAUUUCGGGUUGUCAUAGAGGUAUGCAUGAGAAGUAUAAGGUUAUGAGUUGGUUCUCCCGGGUCUCCUCGGUUACGGGUGCCAGUCCGCCCCAAUAGAAUUUGAGGCGUGACAUAAAUAUUAGUGGAUCUGGUUUUAGAUUUCGAUGGAUUAAAAAAAAUUCACUCUUUCUCUUCUUUCUUAUCCUCUCAAAUCAGAUUUGGGUUUGUCACUUUUGAUCCAUCAAAUUCAGCUCAAGUUCGAGAUUAACAAAUAUUAACUUAAACAGUGAGCUAAAUAAGCAAAGACAAAAAAAGAAACCAGAGGUAAAGAUAAAAGAAAUUUCAUUGCUUAUAGAUAGAGACACCAAAAUCAGAGUGUGAAUUUAUAAAGUACAAGGACUAUUUUCGACCAAUAAUUGAGUAUAAAAAAAACACCACCGUUACCAAUGACAAAAGCCCACUUGCCGACACAUCGUUGGGGAAUGCCAACCUAAUAUUGUCUGGCUGGCACGAACCCACGGAGGAUCAUUCAUGUACCUGAGAGCUCUGACACAUUGGUCCCCUGUCUGUUUUUUCGUGCGUGGUCGUUGUUGCUAGUAGGCCUGUGCCAUUUCUAUCUAGCCCGAGAGGACAUUCUUAAACUUUGAUAUUAUUCUCGGGAUAACAUCAUCAUAGAACAACUCCAGUUCUACUUGACCCGAGAUGGCCUAUAUGGUCCCGUUUGGAUUGGCUUAUUUAUGUGUUUUUAAGUUAAAAUUGAUUUUUAAGUACUUUUAAAGUGUUUGGGUAAAUUUAAAAAGUGCUUAUAAGCACUUAAUUUUAAGCUAAAAUACUAAAAAUAAGCCAAAAGCUAUAAGUUUGAAUUUUUAGCUUAUGACUUAUAAGUCAAAGAUAAAAUUUUUAACUCAAAAUGCCAUAGAUAAUUUCUAACAUAACCCACAAUGCCAUAUAUAAUUUAAUACAAAAUUAAAUUUCAAAAAUUAACUACAAAAAUAAAAUGUGGUUGAAGAAGAAAAUGGAGCAAAAUGGGAAAUGUGGAAGAGAAAAGAAAAUAAUAAAGUUAAAUAAUUAAUUUUUUAGAGUAAAAAAGAAAAAAAAAACAACGUGGCAGCGAGUACAGCUUACUGCCUGAAACAAUGUCUGGGCAUGAACUUUUAGGGGUGUAAAUAUUCUACUUUAAAAUAGUUCAGGAGGUCAUAAGACCCCCGCAAAGUAUUGGUGCGUAGUUGAGAUUUGGGGUAAAGAUUGGGAGAGCUUUUGACCAUUUUCUUUUAAGUAAAAAGUCAAAAGUCAAUCCAAACAAGCAUUAUACUUGCUAAAACUUUGUUGUCCCACACACACAUGUAGAAUUUAUAAACUUAUUACAAUAUUUAUUUUUCAAAGAAUUAUAAGAUCGCAAAGUGACUAGUAAACAUUAUUUUAUGAAAAGAAAAUCUUAUUUUUCUUUGGAUGCUUAUUGAUUAUUGGAGGAUUCAAUCAUUUUCUGUGUGUUAGACAAAUAAAUAACUUACGGACUGUAGUAAUUCUUCAGCGCAAAACAUGGUCUACGGUAUUCAUGAUAGCAAAGAAUAAUUUCACCCCUUUAGUAUCCAAGGUAUGAUUAUCCCAAAAUAAUAAAAUGGAUUCCUUUAAACAUUGUAAUUAUACUGUUAAGCCAACAAAUAAGUGGCACUUAAAUUUAAUUAUAAUGAGAUUUGUCCAAAGGUGAUAAUUAUGUUUUGUGGAUGUGGAAAAAUGAGCAGGGUGAACGUUGUAGAAAAGACCCCACAUUUCAAUUAUUUCUCCCCCCCAACCCCCACCCCCAUCAAUUCACCCACAAUUAUUGCACGGCCUAAUCAUUUUAUUUUCGUCCCUUCUUUUUUUUUUUGGUAAUCUAUUUAUCUUUGAUAAUUUGAACGGUAAAAAUUUGGCCAACUUUUGAAACGGCUAAAGUAUUUGAACGCAUUGAAUAUUGUUUUUCUUUUUCUCAUUGAAUAUCGUCCUGUUGAGCUGUUAUAGGCAAACUAAAUAACUAAGCUAUAGUUUUAUGUAAGUUGUUUAAUUGUUCAACAAUAUGUUAAACAUAUUCAUUUAUUACUAUUAACGAAGUUAGUCAGCAUGCCCGAAAAUUUAUGUAAUAGUAAUAAGAUUUCUAAAUAAAAUUUUAAGUUUAAUAAUUUACGAAUUUAGAAGAUUAUAGAAUUGAAUCCCAUUCAUCUUUUGUGAAACUUUACAUGUGACUAUUGAUGCAAACUCCACAAUGCAUAAUUGUUCAUCUGGGAAUUCUGAUACAUUUACACAGCUUUGAUGUUGAUGGGACUUCAAUUUUUUUUCCCCAACGUUUAUAAGAAUCUUAUUUCAAAAUUCAAAUAUGAAAUUUCUUACUACUAAAUAAGUACUAUGUUACACUUGUUAACCCCGAUCAAACCUUAUAAACAUCAGUAAGGGUGUGUUUGGUGUAAAGGAUUUUUUUUGAAUAAAAUAUCUUUGUUGGAUUACAACCAUUUUGGUUUUCUAAAUAAGAAAAAAAAAAUCAGUUCAAGAAUAUGUAUAUGAAAUCUAGGAGAACACAGUGGGGAUGGGAGUAGGGGUAGGAAUGUGAGGAUGGUGGGAUUGCAUGUUUGGAGAAUGAGUAACGAAAUGCAACUUAUGGAUUCAUUUUCCCUACUUAAUUAUAAUAGGAAUUUAUUUUUCUAAUAAUUAAAGAAACUUGUUUUUUCCACCACCAAGGCGCUCUUGUUUUUUCCCAUUUUCUCUACAUUAUUAUUCUCCCUUUGCUUAAAACGUUUCACAAAAUGGCCAAAGCUAAACAUUAUUUAACCAAUCUGAAUUAGUGUAUGUUAAUCUCAAAUACAGCUUGACGGAUAUUUUUAUUGUACGUCCUAUGAACCCCAUAUUGCCGUAAUCAGCAGUCCAAAGAUUUCCAAAAUACAUUGGUUGGAUGAACUGAAGUCAAUAAUGUAUAUUUCUAUUACUUCGAGCAAAAGCCAUAACUGAAAACGUAACAUAAGCUGAAUUUUGAAGCUCCUUGUUGACUCCUGAAUUCAAUUACUCGUACACUUUUUUUUUUUACAAAAUUUCCUAAGAUAUCAUAAUUUAGAGAUGUAUUAUUAAGAGUGAAAGAACUUUCAAAAAUCUUACAAUACUUAUACAGAAUAGUAAUUCAUCAAUAAUAAAAAGGUGUUGAAUCUGAUCGACCAUGGUAAAGGUAUGGCACCAUAUGGAUCUUUGUCCCAAGAGCUGAGAAAAAUGUUCACAACCUGGGAUAUUGGAAGAGGCGGAUCCAAGAUUCGAAAGCUUCGGGUGUCACCUUAUUUUGAACAAUAACGUAUACUUCGUACAUAUUUUAAGAUAGUAAAAUCAAAAUUCAAAGAGAAAACUAUAAUUAUAUAUAUCUUACAAGUGUUAGUGUUAGUAUUGCUUGCCCAGUUGGUAUUGUCAAUUGUUUUGAUAUUGUGGGUGCCAGGGAUAAUAUUUAUACGCCACUAGUUUCCUUUGAUACAGUGUUUCAUCCGAGAAGUACGGGUGCCGUGCCACCCCAUACCUUCUACAUGGAUCCGCCCUGAAUGUUGGUCAUGCAAAAGGUUGCGCAGCUUUCAAGACUAGUAGUAUUUCUCACUCUAACCUUCGAUUUUCAUUCCAAUAGAUUCGUUUUCUUUAUUUUUUGUAGCAAAAUCUGGUGACAUGUUUCUAGGAACGCUCGAGGAUAAUGUUAAUAAAAGCAUUAAACAUCCCAUUCUACCAGCAUUAAAAGUCGCAUGAUGCCAGGUCAGCCCCAAAUACUUCUAAUAUUAUUUGUCCAUUUAUUAAUUGUAUCAUAAACCAACCAAACAUAAUCAAAGCAAGCACCCUAGAAUACUACUAAAUCAUUAUUAGAAUUCGCAAAAACAAGAAAAAGUAACAAUAAAACAAGAAAUAAAAAAAAGUCUCAAACACACUUCCCACUUCCCAAACAAUCUAGUACUCACUUCCCACCCAUGUAGUACACAACAAUCUCACAAUGACCACUCAAUAUCUCAGUACUAGUGCUUGCAGGGCAGAUUCUUUGAAGGUUCAAAAGCAAAUGGGCCCACAUCAAAGAGCUUAACACCAGGUUCAGAAUUAUUCACAGGCUUUGAUGAUGCCAUGGGAGAUGGGGGUGCAGGGACCAAUAUGGCUCCACUCUGUCCAUUGUGGAAGUCUGUUGGGACACUGCAUUCUGCUUUUGAUGAUUUAGCUAAGAAGACCUUGCACUUGUGGUAACCUGCAGUGGUCAACCACUUCGGUUGAAUAUAAAAGUACCCAUUCUUGUCUGUUGUGCCUAGACUUGUUAGAUGGAACUUUGUGUUGUUGCAUGCCAGCUUCACCACCGCGCCUGUACCAUAAAAUUAACACAAGCCAUUAGUCCAUUACAUUGUGGUAAAUUUAAAUCGAUGUCUGUUGAACUCUUUUAACUAUGCCAUACAUUUUAUUUUGUGACAACAAGAAAGGAUAGACUCGUGAAAUAACAACGGCCUUAAGAGUUAUUUUGUUACAAACAUACAAUAAAGAGUCACACCAAAAUGUAGUUUAAAGAAGAGCUCACCUUGAAUAGGAGAAGCUCCCAAGAGGGUGUCAACUCCCCUAUACUUGCAAGAUUUGCAGUAAACCACUCCCCUUACGCCUACAAACAUCCUCAUCGGAGGUGGAGUUGGUGGUUUAACUGGCGGAUAUGGUUUUACUGGAGGCUUAACUGGCGGAGAUGGUUUUACUGGUGGCUUAACUGGCGGAGAUGGUUUUACUGGUGGCUUAACUGGCGGAGAUGGUGGUUUACUAGGAGAAUGUGCUGGUGGAGUUGGCGGUUUAACUGGUGGAGAUGGUUUUACUGGUGGUUUAACUGGCGGAGAUGGUGGUUUGCUAGGAGAAUGUGCUGGUGGAGUUGGCGGUUUAACUGGUGGUUUAACUGGCGGAGAUGGAGGUUUACUAGGAGAAUGUGCAGGUGGAUACGGUGGUUUAACUGGUGGAGAUGGUGGUGGUGAAGAGUGAGAAGGAGGAGGAGCAGGGGCUGGAGAGUGCUUGUGGUGGUGGUGGUGGUGGUGGUGGCCACCUUUAUGAGGCUUAGGGGCUUCAACAGGUGGGGAGCUAACAGAGGAAUGAGGAGCUAGUUCUGAAGUCACAAUGCCAUCAACAUUUUGGCCAAGAACUGUGAAUGAAGUAACUAGUAGUAAAGCUACAAUAAACCCAAUGGACUUUGUUGGAACAAACCCCAUUUUGUUCGACAAAUGAUUUUUGUAAAUUGAACUCUGAGUAGGUGUGUAAGGGGAAAUGAGUGGCAUUUAUAGAGGGGGUGAAAGAGCCAUAUUGUGUGGUAUUCCCUCUUUUUAAUUUUAUUUUAAAAUUUUAAAAAAAAAAAAGUGUUUUCUUAAAGGCUCUUUAAUAGUAUUAAUUUCUACAUUAUAUUUUAAAAUCACAUAAUAAAAGAUAUUUUAAUGAUAUACCUUUCAGCUUUAGAUCAUAAGAUUCCAAAAUAUGUUUGUUUUUCUAAACGUUAAAUCUACAUAAAUAAAUUAAAAUGGAGGUAGUAGAUACAUAGUCUUUGCAUAUUAAUUAGAUUGGACCAAGAUUUAAGGAAAAAUAAAAUUCAAUAUACUCCUAUAAAAUACCGAUUACUCUUUAAAUGAAAUUAUGAUAGUAUAAUGAUCUCUUAUGUCACUUAUAAUUUAAACCGAAAAAUAAUUUCUUUAAACAAAAGUUCUUUUAACUUUCUUGCAAGCAAAUUUUUAUAUUAUACAACAACAACAAUCCCAGCGUACUCCCAAAGUGAGGCUGGGGAGGGUAAAAUAUACGCAGUCCAUAUCGCUAUCUCCGAAGAAGUAGAGAGGUUGUUUUCAAUAGACCCCUGGCUCAGGAUAGAGAAUAGUACACGAGGUCGUAGUGAAACAUGAAGCAGGAUGAAUCACAUAACAGGAAUAAGGAAUAAGAAAUAGUAAAAUAGAUAUCAGAGAAAUUCGAACUAAGAGAAAUACUAGUAAUACGAAAUAAGAAAUAAGAAAUAAGACACCCACCUUUGUAGUAACAUACACUCACAGACCAAAGACACCCACCACACCUAAACUCUCCUGACUAGAGGCUCCUACUUAUGGACACAGUCUUAGGAUUACUAAUCCGGCUACACAAGAGCUCUCCUAACACCUUGCUACAACCCACACACUCACACUAGUCUUCUAUCCUUAUCUAGGACCUCUACACCUUCCUAUCUAGGGUCAUGUCCUCAGUAAGUUGUAGUUGCUCCAUGUCAUGUUUAUCACCUCUCUCCAGUAUUUCUUCGGUCUACUUCUACUUCCCCUAAAGUCAUCCAAAACUAGCCCUUAUACCUACGAACUUGGGCAUCUGUGCCCCUCUUCAUCACAUGCCUAAACCAUCUCAGUCUUUCUUCUUGCAUCUUGUUUUCCUCCGAAGUCACUCUCAUCUUCUCCCUGAUAGUCUCAUUCUUAACUUUAUCCCCUCUAGUAAGUCCACACAUCCAACGCAACAUUCUCAUUUCCUCCACCUUCAAUCUUUGAACGUGAAAGUUCUUGACUGGAUAACACUCUACUCCAUACAGCAUGGUCGAACGGACGACCACUCUCUAUAAUUUGCCUUUAAGCUUAAGGGGUAUCUUCUUAUCACACAACACUUCCGAGACGAGCCUUACUCCACUUCAUCCAACCCGCUCCAAUACGUUUAGAGACAUUCUCAUCAAUCUCGUUAUUCCCCUGAAUCAUAGACCCAAUAUACUUACAACUAUCCCUCUUACAAACAUCCUGGGAAUCCAACCUCACCAUCGCUUCGUCCUCCUGACUCGAGUUACUAAAUUUGCAUACCAUAUACUCCGUCUUGGAUCUACUAAACCUGAACCUCUUAGAUUCAAGGGUUUGCAUCCAAACCUCCAAUUUUUCAUUCACACCCUCUCGCGUCUCAUGAAUCAACACUACAUCAUCUAAAAAUAACAUACAUCAUGGUACCUCACCUUGAAUACUCCAUGUCAACACGUCCAUCACCAGCGUAAACAAAAACGGGCUAAGAGUCGAUCCCUAAUGCAACCUUGUCUCAAUCGAAAAAUGUCCUUAGUCUCCUCCCGCCGUCCUCACCCAAAUCUUUCCUCCGUCGUACAUGUCCUUAAUAGCUCUGAUGUACGCCAACGGAACCCCUCUUACCUCCAAGCAUCUCCAAAGAACCUCCGUAGGAACUUUGUCAUACGUCUUCUCCAAGUCGAUGAACACCAUGUGUAAAUUCCUCUUCCAUUCCCUAUACUACUCCACUAAUCUCCUCACCAGGUGGAUUGCCUCUGUCGUUGAGCGACCAGGCAUACAAUCAAACUGAUUUUCUGAAAUGGACACGACCCUCUUCAAUCUCCGCUCAACCACCAUCUCCCAAAUCUUCAUAGUGUGACUCAACAGCUUAAUACCUCUAUAGUUGUUGCAACUCUGAAUGUCACCCUUGUUUUUAUAUAACGGAAUCAUCGUACGUCAUCUCCAAGCCUCAAGAAUUUUCGCACUCUUGAAAAUGUCGUUAAAUAAAUCAGUCAACCACCUUAAACCUGCCUUACUAGUAUACUUCCAAAAAUCAACCAAAAUCUCAUCAGGCCCGGUCACCCUACCCCUACGCAUCUAACGAAUAGCCUCUCUGACCUCCUCAACCUUAAAACGUCUACAGUAACUGAAAUCACAGCUUUCCUCCGAGCGCUUCAGCUCUCCUAACUCAAUGCUUCUGUCCCCUUCCUCGUUCAAAAGUUUAUGAAAAUAUUUCUGCCACCUCUUCUUAAUGCGAACAUCCUCCACCAAAGCUCUAUCAUCCUCCCCCUUAAUGCACUUCACUUGAUCGAGGUCACUAUCCUUCCUCUCCCUAACCUUAGCCAGCCUAUACAACCCUUUUUAUCAGUCUUUCUCCUCUAACCCCGCAUACAAGCUCUCAAAUGUUGCUGUCUUAACAGUCGUAACUGCUAAAUUUGCCUCCUUCCUUGCUACUUUGAAAACCUCCCUAUUCACCCUUUUCUCCUCCUCAUCUUUACUCUCAAUCAACUUAACAUACGCUCUCUUCUUGAUCUUCACUUUCUUCUUAACUUUUUCAUUCUACAAUCCCCCUUAUGCCGACCUGCCCAACCCCUCGAAACAUCCAACACCUCUCUAUCCGUCUCCGUGAUGCAGCUGGCAGCGUUAUCCCACAUACCAUCUGCGUCUCCCUAUGCUCCCAUACCCUCAUUCCCACCACCUUCUCCCCUAUCUCUCACGCACUAACUGACGUCAAGCCACCCUACUUAAUUCUGGGUUGACCCUCUCCGGCCCUACUCUUCUUGCUCUUCUUGAUAAUCAAGUUCAUCACCAAAAGCUUGUGCGGGGUCGAAAGGUGCUCACUCGGAAUGACUUUACAGUCCUUACAUAAAACUCUAUCUCCUUUCCUAAGUAGGAGAAAGUCAAUCUGAGUCUUGGGUAACGCACUUCGAAAGACAGGUGAUCCUCCUUUUUCGGAAAAAUCGAAUUCACUACCACCAGCCCAAAGGCUCUCGCAAAAUCUAACAGAGAAACCCCCUCACUAUUUCUAUCGCCAAAACUAAAACCUUCAUGCAAUCGGCAUAACCUCCCGCUAAAACCCUAAUAUGUCCAUUGAAGUCCCCCGCUAUGACAAUCUUCUUCGAGCUAGGCACGCUUCUUACUACCUCAUCCAAAGUCUCCCAAAAUCUCGCUUUCACCUUCUCUUCCAAGCCCACCUGCGACGCAUAAACACUACACACAUGCAACGUAAACCCUCCAAUGACCAACUUAAUCAUCAUCCGCCUAUCACUGACCCUAUUAACCUCCACUACCUGCCCUCUAAGCUUUCGUCCACUAAGAUGCCCACUCCAUUCCAACGCCUCUCACUCCCUGAGUACCACGGCUUGUACCAAUCCACAUCCCUCUCCUUAGACCUUACCCAUUUUGUCUCCUGAAUACACGCAAUAUUAAUCUUCCUCUUCUUAAGAAUCUUCACCAGCUCUACAGACUUACCCUAGAGGUCCCUAUGUUCCAAGACCCUACCCUCAACCUAGCCUCUCUCGCCACUCGCCUCCGUCUUCCACCCCUCACCGAACCAGCCCUAACACCCGACCUAGACCCCACACCCGCCCGUGCCUUCCCCUCCCGAAACAGUCCCCACUCCCACCCCCUCCCCCUCAGACAUGGCCCUAUUCCAUCAACAACACUCACAGCCACUACUCAAUAAUCGGAACAAAGCCCCAAACCAAUUUUUUAUAUUAUAUUUGUAAAAAUUAAAAUUUCUUUAAAAAAAAUUGAAACAAAAUUAGCAAAGAACUAUAUAAUCAAUUGAGCCUAACUUUAAAUGAAAAGAAUACAUAAAUGAAAAGAAUACAUAAAUGGAGCAAAGGAAAUGCGGUGAAAUAUAAUUAUUAUGAACAAUGAAAAGAUUAAGUAAAAAAAAGGUGGACGAAUCAUAAAUAUGGGGGCCAUCUGGAGCUGUUUAAUGGACCAGAAAUGAGUAUUAGGACAAAUUAAAGAGGGCGGGGGGGGGAUAUAUCUCAUAAUCAAGAAAAAUAAAGAUAUUGUAACAGGUGGCUAAAUGCUUCACAUGCAGAGGACAUGAUGGGGCAUGUUAUUUUUGGUAAUUUUGCACAUCUAACCAUACCCUGUACAAUUUUCCAAUGUCCUUUGUUUUCAUGUAAUAUCUUAGUCCCUAUAAAUGGUGUAAUAAUUAAAGGAGACAUGUAGUGCAGAGCAAUAGAUUCAUCGUGGCUUUUCCAUUCCAGCUAAUCAUCUUUAAAUUCCUGUAAUUACAUGCUAUGUUAAUUAAUUCGAAAACAGUACACAGACUCGUCAGCUUUCUCUUUUCUCUUCAUCUCUUCUUAUUUAGCCCUUCUUUAUCUUUGAACAUUUGUUGCAGUUUAGUUUGAAUUCUCGAUUGGAGGAGUCUUGUCCAAGCUAUGUCGUAAUUUAUGUGAUAUACCUUUUCUUUUUAUCAAUCUCAAAAUAUAUAUAUGAUUCUUUUAUAAAUAUCUAAGUUCUAUUUUAAAUUACAAAUUAUAGAGUCUUCUGUAUUUUUUAAGUUGAAGUGGAGUCUUGGAGUAGCUAAUAAAGUUAGUGUCAUGUGAUCAAGAGGUUACGGGUUCAAGUCUUGGAAAUAGCCUCUGGCAGAAAUGUAAGGUAAGACUGCGUACGAUACACUCUUGCAGAUGCGAACCUACCUUGGCACUAGGGGGUGCAAGUGCACCCGCUAGCCUCGCAAAAAACUCCGUAUAUAUAGUUUGUAUAUUUGUAUAUAUAUAAGGUAUUGUGUUAAAUAUAUAUUGUGCACCCACAAAAAUAAUUGACUUGAUUGAUAGGAUGAUUGAUCAUGCCAGUUAAAGUCUUUUUUAUUGCGUGGUGACUCGGGUUCGAAGCCCAACAACAAUAUUUUUUAAUUGCUUCUUUUUCCAAAUACUCUAUUUGUUUGUUGUUUUCUGUUUGAAAUUUUAAGUGCAAACAAACACACACACAUAUAUAUCAUUUGAUUAAAAAAAACUUCCUACUUAGUAAUUAUUUAUUUUAUACUUUUUCUUUUUUCUUUUUUCUUUUAUGUAUUGUGGGCAUUGUUGAUGUAUUUUUCAUUUUAAUUCAAAAUUCAAGCUUCCCUUCAACUUCAUAAUGUAGAUAUUCUCCCUAUCUUGUACUCUAAAUGUUUAUUUCUUUUAUCUUUUGAUCAUUGACUUAUUUUUUAUUUAAAAAAUUAGCAAUUUAAAGUUUGAGAUAGACUUAAAUCAAACGUUUUUCAUACAAUCAUCUAGCAAACAAAUCUCUUGAAUUUCAUAUUUUUCAAAAACUUUUUAUUAUUAUUUAAAAUAUAAAAGUACAUUGAAUUCAAGUAUGAGGGAUAACACACUUUUGUCAUAUUAAAUCUAAUUAAUGAUACUCAAUAAUAUUAAAAGUUUGUUUAUAAAAUACUAUAAUUAAUGAAUUUUCAAAGAGCUGUAUGUCAAACUUUGACACUAUUAAUUAUUAUGUUAAAUAUAGAGGUGCACCCGUUAAGCUCAAAUCCUGGGUUUGCUUCUGCACCCUUGUGGUGGGGCCCUUCCGCGGACACCGCGCAUAGUGGUAGCUUUAGUGCACCGGGUUGUCCUUUUGGAAAGGGAACAUAACUGGUAAAGUUGCUGUCAUGUGACCAGGAGGUCACAGGUUCAAGCCUUGGAAACAACCUCUUGCAGAAAUGCAAGGUAAGUUGUGUACAAUACACCCUUGUGGUGGGGUCCUUUUUCGGACAUCGCGCAUAGCGGUAACUUUAGUAUACCAGGCUGUCUUUUUUUUUUUAAAAAAAAAUUUAAGUUAAAAAUUUGAAGUGCCACUAACCCUUUCAUUCUUAUCGCUCCGGAUUCCGAUCUUUAUGACCUCCGAGCGGCCAAAUAGCGUGAAAAGGGUCCUCAAAAUCAGGCAAGCACUGAACCUGUCCUGAAUUCAGCUUCAGAAAAAAAAGGAUACCACUUAAGGGAAGUUUGGUGUGAGGUAUAAUGAAUAAAUAAUCUCGAAAUAAAUGAUGAAUUAUUUUAUUUCAUAUUUAAUUGAAAGGAAUAAGUUAUUUCAUAUGCAUGGUGAAUAAGUUAUCUCAAAUAAUUUUAAAAUAAUUAAUUCUAAAAUUAAUUAUCUUAAAAUAACUAUUUCCAAAUAAACGAUGGCUUAAAUUGUGACGAGGGAGAAACUAGUAGGACAUGGAGGUGUAUAAUACAACACAGAACUCCAGGAGUAACGGCUAAAUUCCAGCGCAGCAGCUUCCCGAAUAAGGCUGCCUCUUAAGUCUUGGUUACCUUCUCGAGGAAACUACUGCGUUCCAGAUUUCAAAUAUUACUCCAUAAAGUUGCGUAACGAUUCUUUAAUUCAAUGAUUAAUUAUUUCCUCUCUUCUAUUUUAUCCGUUUCAAAUUUUUUAAUUUAAUAUUUCAUUUUACUUGUCCUUUUUAACUUAUCAAGACAAGAUAAUUUUUCUCUCCAUAUUUUAUCCUUUAUAUUAAUUACUUUUUCUAUAAAUGAAAAUGUAAACAUCAUUUAAUAGGGAUAUUAUAGUAAACUAGCUAUGCUAUUUAUUAUUUUUCUUAAUAGUUGUAUCAUCCCAAUUUAGGACGAGUAAAAUGGGAUGGAGGAAAUAGUAUCUGGCUUAAUUAAAAGUUCAAGGAAUCAAGUUGAAUUUAAGUUUUGUUCACCGUUAGUGUACAAAAUAUUACACACUAUUAGGUGAACUUGAUUUGUUAUUUUUAAUUUUUUAAUUUUUAUGUAAAUAAUUAGGUAACCUGCAAUAGCAAGUCAAGUUAACUAGUAGUGUAAAAUUUUUUGUAUACUAACGAUGCACAAAACUUAAACUCAAUUGAAUUUAAGAUAUGAAAAACGUCUUAAAUAAAGUAAUUUUUUUUUUCUUAUAAAAAGGUGUUUUUGAUAUGAAUUCAAUUAGUGGGAUCAUAAAAUAAAUAUCUCAAACACAUAUAAUUCGUACUCGUCAGUUUUCUACCGACACAAUUUGAUAUCACGGAAUUUAAAGUAGAGUAAACAAUUUUCUAUUGCACGUUAACUAAAACUUAUAGUAAAUAUUAUUUAGCUGUUGGAAUUAUGAUUAAUUUGAAUUGAGUAUUUUAAUAUAAUAACAUAUUUUUAUUGAAUAUUUUUUAUUUAAAUGUUAGAAAAACUUAUGAUCACAUUCUCAAACACUCAUAGGUAAAUAAAUCAAUUAUUAAAUAUUAUUAGUAUCUUUUUUAAUGAUAUGCAUUAUUCUCAAUAACCGAUAAAACCUCAAGACUUGAUGGUGAUGUUUGAGUGUUUAAAUAAGAAAAAUAUGUUGACGGUGUCCAAAAAGUUGAAACAGUAAAAAUAUAGUAGUACUUUGACCCUCAUUCCUAUUAGGGGUGGGGUCGUUUGGUCAGAAAAGUGUCAUUUUGAGUUGAGGAAAGACGUGUUUUUACCUCAAACUUGUAAUCUAAACUCACUUUCAACACUUAAACUUAACUUUUGUUUAUAUAUUCUUUUUAACAUCUUUAAACUAUAUUAAUUUCACCCUUCAAAACUGAAUACCACUCUCACAAUAGAGAGUAUACAUACACGCCGAUAAAUCAGCAUCACGUCACUGUCACAUCGAAGUCACGCAAAAAAAGAAUUUUUUAAAAAUAAUUAUAUAUAUAUAUAUAUAUUUGACUAAUCUUCUAGGUAUUUAUUUAUAUAUGAACCCAAAAUUUCAAGCCUGAAAUUCUAGUUCAUCAUAAACAUUGCUAGUUUCAACACUGCCCAAUGUAUGGAUCUUCAUUUUUGGGUCUUAAAUUUCAACAUAAACUAACUAAAUUCAUACCAAUUAAACUUAAAUUUCAACUACAGCUUCACAACAUCAUUAGAAAAUCUCAAUAAUUAAUUCAAUAAACUCAUUUUUUUUGUCUUCAAGCUUUUUUAAAGGUCCAAUAAUGGUGGAUACAAAAUUAAACUAGUAAAAUUCAUACCAAUCGAACUCAAAUUUCAGAUACAACUUUACAACAUCAUUAGAAAACUUCAAUAAUCAAUUUCGACAUCAAUCUCAUCUUGAAUUUGCUAAACUCAUUUUUUUUGUCUUCAAGCUUUUUCAAGCUUAAACAAUGACAGAUACAAAAUUAAACAAGCAAAAUUCAUACCAAUCAAACUCAAAAUUCAAGUACAACUUUACAUCAUCGUGGAAAACACCAAUAAUCAAUUUGAACAUCACCCAUGAAUUUGACACUCAUUAUUUUUUUGUCUUCAAAAUUUUUUCAAGGUUCAAUAAUGGUGGAUAUAAAAGACAAUCUCAUAAAUCCAACAACAAAUUUCUUAAAAAUUUACAUAAGUAAUUUAGUUCAACAAUCAUGUAUUGAAAGACUUUCUUUUCCAAAAUUAUUUUCUAACCCAUUAGAGUUCACUCCCUCGCACAAGCAACUCUAACGGCUCCCUCUCUUUCCCCCUACCCUCUCUCUCUCUCGCUCGCUCGCACUGGUCCCCGGCCCCCGUCGCCGUCGCCGACCCGACCCGACCUCUNNNNNNNNNNNNNNNNNNNNNNNNNNNNNNNNNNNNNNNNNNNNNNNNNNNNNNNNNNNNNNNNNNNNNNNNNNNNNNNNNNNNNNNNNNNNNNNNNNNNNNNNNNNNNNNNNNNNNNNNNNNNNNNNNNNNNNNNNNNNNNNNNNNNNNNNNNNNNNNNNNNNNNNNNNNNNNNNNNNNNNNNNNNNNNNNNNNNNNNNNNNNNNNNNNNNNNNNNNNNNNNNNNNNNNNNNNNNNNNNNNNNNNNNNNNNNNNNNNNNNNNNNNNNNNNNNNNNNNNNNNNNNNNNNNNNNNNNNNNNNNNNNNNNNNNNNNNNNNNNNNNNNNNNNNNNNNNNNNNNNNNNNNNNNNNNNNNNNNNNNNNNNNNNNNNNNNNNNNNNNNNNNNNNNNNNNNNNNNNNNNNNNNNNNNNNNNNNNNNNNNNNNNNNNNNNNNNNNNNNNNNNNNNNNNNNNNNNNNNNNNNNNNNNNNNNNNNNNNNNNNNNNNNNNNNNNNNNNNNNNNNNNNNNNNNNNNNNNNNNNNNNNNNNNNNNNNNNNNNNNNNNNNNNNNNNNNNNNNNNNNNNNNNNNNNNNNNNNNNNNNNNNNNNNNNNNNNNNNNNNNNNNNNNNNNNNNNNNNNNNNNNNNNNNNNNNNNNNNNNNNNNNNNNNNNNNNNNNNNNNNNNNNNNNNNNNNNNNNNNNNNNNNNNNNNNNNNNNNNNNNNNNNNNNNNNNNNNNNNNNNNNNNNNNNNNNNNNNNNNNNNNNNNNNNNNNNNNNNNNNNNNNNNNNNNNNNNNNNNNNNNNNNNNNNNNNNNNNNNNNNNNNNNNNNNNNNNNNNNNNNNNNNNNNNNNNNNNNNNNNNNNNNNNNNNNNNNNNNNNNNNNNNNNNNNNNNNNNNNNNNNNNNNNNNNNNNNNNNNNNNNNNNNNNNNNNNNNNNNNNNNNNNNNNNNNNNNNNNNNNNNNNNNNNNNNNNNNNNNNNNNNNNNNNNNNNNNNNNNNNNNNNNNNNNNNNNNNNNNNNNNNNNNNNNNNNNNNNNNNNNNNNNNNNNNNNNNNNNNNNNNNNNNNNNNNNNNNNNNNNNNNNNNNNNNNNNNNNNNNNNNNNNNNNNNNNNNNNNNNNNNNNNNNNNNNNNNNNNNNNNNNNNNNNNNNNNNNNNNNNNNNNNNNNNNNNNNNNNNNNNNNNNNNNNNNNNNNNNNNNNNNNNNNNNNNNNNNNNNNNNNNNNNNNNNNNNNNNNNNNNNNNNNNNNNNNNNNNNNNNNNNNNNNNNNNNNNNNNNNNNNNNNNNNNNNNNNNNNNNNNNNNNNNNNNNNNNNNNNNNNNNNNNNNNNNNNNNNNNNNNNNNNNNNNNNNNNNNNNNNNNNNNNNNNNNNNNNNNNNNNNNNNNNNNNNNNNNNNNNNNNNNNNNNNNNNNNNNNNNNNNNNNNNNNNNNNNNNNNNNNNNNNNNNNNNNNNNNNNNNNNNNNNNNNNNNNNNNNNNNNNNNNNNNNNNNNNNNNNNNNNNNNNNNNNNNNNNNNNNNNNNNNNNNNNNNNNNNNNNNNNNNNNNNNNNNNNNNNNNNNNNNNNNNNNNNNNNNNNNNNNNNNNNNNNNNNNNNNNNNNNNNNNNNNNNNNNNNNNNNNNNNNNNNNNNNNNNNNNNNNNNACCUUUCGAAGCGCGAUAGCCAGGACCCAGAUUGACUUUUUGUUGCUUAGGAAAGGGGAUAGGGCGUUGUGUAAGGACUGUAAAGUCAUCCCGAUUGAGAAUCUUUCGACCCAGCAUAGGCUCUUGGUUAUGGAUUUGGGUAUAAAGAAGAAUAGAAAGAGGAGGAGUAAGGAGUGUAGACCUAGAAUUAAGUGGGACGGCCUGACGCUAGUGAAUGCGUGGGAGAUAGGGGAGAGAUUGACGGGAAUGGGGGUGUGGGAGUGUAGGGGGGACGUGGAUAGUAUGUGGGACAGGGCGGCAAGGUGCAUCAGAGAGAAUGCAAGUUAGGUGUUGGGUGUUUCUAGGGGCCGGGACGGACACCAUCGGGGGGAUUGGUGGUGGAAUGAAGAGGUGGAGAAGAAAGUGGGGACCAAGAAAGGGGCGUAUGCUAAGUUGGUGGAAAGUAAGGACGAAGAGGAGAAGCGGGUAAACAGGAAAGAGUACAANNNNNNNNNNNNNNNNNNNNNNNNNNNNNNNNNNNNNNNNNNNNNNNNNNNNNNNNNNNNNNNNNNNNNNNNNNNNNNNNNNNNNNNNNNNNNNNNNNNNNNNNNNNNNNNNNNNNNNNNNNNNNNNNNNNNNNNNNNNNNNNNNNNNNNNNNNNNNNNNNNNNNNNNNNNNNNNNNNNNNNNNNNNNNNNNNNNNNNNNNNNNNNNNNNNNNNNNNNNNNNNNNNNNNNNNNNNNNNNNNNNNNNNNNNNNNNNNNNNNNNNNNNNNNNNNNNNNNNNNNNNNNNNNNNNNNNNNNNNNNNNNNNNNNNNNNNNNNNNNNNNNNNNNNNNNNNNNNNNNNNNNNNNNNNNNNNNNNNNNNNNNNNNNNNNNNUUCAGGACGGCAAAGAUGCUCGAGGCGUGGAGGUGGAGUACCAUGAUCCCCCUCUAUAAGAAUAAGGGGGACAUUCAGAGUUGUAAUAACUAUAGGGGGAUUAAGUUAUUGAGUCACUCUAUGAAGAUCUGGGAGAGAGUGGUCGAGGUGAGGCUGAGACGGAUAGUGUCUAUUUCGGAAAACCAGUUCGGAUUUAUGCCCGGCCGCUCGACGACGGAGGCAAUCCACCUGGUACGGAGGUUGGUAGAACAGUAUAGGGAAAGGAAAAAGGAUCUGCACAUGGUGUUUACGACCUGGAGAAGCCUUACGACAAAGUCCCCAGGGAGGUGCUUUGGAGAUGCUUGGAGGUGAGUGGAGUACCGCUGGCAUAUAUCAGAGCAAUUAAGGAUAUGUAUGAUGGAGCGAAAACUCAGGUGAGGACGGCGGGAGGAGACUCAGAGCAUUUCACUGUCCUGACAGGAUUGCAUCAAGGAUCUACUCUUAGUCCCUUUUUGUUUGCGUUGGUGAUGGAUGUGUUGACGCGGCGUAUUCAAGGGGAGGUGCCGUGGUGUAUGCUUUUUGCAGACGAUGUAGUUCUGAUAGAUGAGACUCGAGGGGGUGUGAAUGACAAAGUAGAGGGGUGGAGGCAAACUCUUGAGUCUAAAGGGUUCAGGGUGAGCAGAAGCAAGACAGAGUAUGUGGAAUGCAAGUUUAAUGACGUGAGGCGGGAGAAUGAGGUAGUAGUGAAGCUGGAAUCACAGGAGGUAGGUAAGAGGGAGAGUUUCAAGUAUCUCGGGUCNNNNNNNNNNNNNNNNNNNNNNNNNNNNNNNNNNNNNNNNNNNNNNNNNNNNNNNNNNNNNNNNNNNNNNNNNNNNNNNNNNNNNNNNNNNNNNNNNNNNNNNNNNNNNNNNNNNNNNNNNNNNNNNNNNNNNNNNNNNNNNNNNNNNNNNNNNNNNNNNNNNNNNNNNNNNNNNNNNNNNNNNNNNNNNNNNNNNNNNNNNNNNNNNNNNNNNNNNNNNNNNNNNNNNNNNNNNNNNNNNNNNNNNNNNNNNNNNNNNNNNNNNNNNNNNNNNNNNNNNNNNNNNNNNNNNNNNNNNNNNNNNNNNNNNNNNNNNNNNNNNNNNNNNNNNNNNNNNNNNNNNNNNNNNNNNNNNNNNNNNNNNNNNNNNNNNNNNNNNNNNNNNNNNNNNNNNNNNNNNNNNNNNNNNNNNNNNNNNNNNNNNNNNNNNNNNNNNNNNNNNNNNNNNNNNNNNNNNNNNNNNNNNNNNNNNNNNNNNNNNNNNNNNNNNNNNNNNNNNNNNNNNNNNNNNNNNNNNNNNNNNNNNNNNNNNNNNNNNNNNNNNNNNNNNNNNNNNNNNNNNNNNNNNNNNNNNNNNNNNNNNNNNNNNNNNNNNNNNNNNNNNNNNNNNNNNNNNNNNNNNNNNNNNNNNNNNNNNNNNNNNNNNNNNNNNNNNNNNNNNNNNNNNNNNNNNNNNNNNNNNNNNNNNNNNUGGACUGCGUACAUCUUACCCCCCCCCCAGACCCCACUAGGUGGGAAUACACUGGGUUUGUUGUUGUUGUAUUUUCUAACCCAUUAAACUUCAUAAUUUUUCACACACAUUUUUUUCUUUCUUGAAGAUAUUAAUAAAGAUAAUAGAAGUGGAGAUGGAGAGUUAGAAGAAAGAGAAAGGAAACUGGGGUAGGAUAGAAAUACAAGAAAACGAAAUGGAGUGAGGAUGGGGGGCUUAUGAAGAAGAUGAAGAUCGGGUGGGGUGAGAGGUAAAGGGUGAGUUUCUCUUUAUAUAUAUAAAUAUAAAUAUAAAUAUAAAUAUAAAUAUAAAUAUAUAUAUAUAUAUAUAUUAUCGUCCACCAGAGUAUGAAUGAUAAACUAGAGGUGUGGAGACAGACCCUUGAGUCUAAGGGNNNNNNNNNNNNNNNNNNNNNNNGUGAGUCUUUCUCUCUCUCUCUCUCUCUCUCUCUCUCUAUAUAUAUAUAUAUAUAUAUAUAUAUAUAUAUAUAUAUAUAUAAAAUUAAAAAAAGUGGGACCAUAUCAGUUUAUUAAUAGAAAACGUGCUUUUUUUUGCUUUUUUUUUAAAUUCCACGUCAGUUUGAGGGGUGAAAUUAAUACGCUUUAAAGAUGUUUAGGGGGUAAAUAAAUGAAAAUUAAGUUUAAGUGCUAAAGUGAGUUUGGAGGACAAGUUCAGGAGGGAAAAGAUGUUUUUUCUCUUUUGAGAUUAGCUAUCGUGAGGUUAGUUAUCAGUUAUCAUAGUAUUAUAUAUAUGAGAUAAAUAAUUUUGAUACUAAUUAAUACCUCAGACUAACAUCAAAUAAAAUAAUUUUUUAUUUUAUCUCGAGUCUAUUUAUCCUUUAUACCUUUCACCAAAUGACUCCUGAAAGCUUUUUAUUAGGAUAUGAUUAGUAGGGAGAAAAAUGUUUUCGACUUUUUUCCUAUUUAAUUGAUCAAAAUAUUUUUUUUAGAAAAAAAAAAAAGAUUUUCAAGUAUGAGGAAAUUAACACUUUCUUCAUGAAAGUAGGAAAAACAAACUUCAUUAAUAAGUGACGUUCGGACGUUCCAAGUUAGAGGUAUCAUUUAAUACCUCCAGGCUCCAACCAUGCAUCUCACUCCCAACCCAGCCACCCUUGAAAACCCCCAGUACCCAACCCAUCCCUCCGCCAUAGCAUUUUGCUGAGGAAUAUAUAAAUAAUUUUAAAAUAAUAUUUUCUUGCUUAUUUAUCAAAUUAAACACAAAAAAUAAAUAAAUAGAAAAUUCACUUUUUUUUUCAUGAAAAUAUUUUUAGAAAAAUCAUUUUCUAUGAGAAACAUUUUAGUUCAUAUACCAAACAUGCCCUUAAUGCACGAACCUUUUUCGGACAGGGACUCCAUAACCAUGGUUGUAAAUAUAUUGAUUAAAUUAAAAAUCAAAACCAAAUUAGGUACCUAUUGGUAACUACACUACAGAAAAGGUUAAACAUUGGACAUGGGAUCAACAUUUUCCUUUUUCCUUUAUGGUACGUCACGUGAUGGGGUUUCAUCUUUUCAUCAGUCGAAGUAUGGAUAAUUAUGCUCACAUUUUGAGGACUUAAAAUGAAUAUUAUAUUCGAAGAAGGGAAAACAACAACCAAUAUAUGUAAUAACACAUAAUUUUAACUCCAAAAUUGGAAAACACACUGUUUUACUUAUAACCCAUAUGCAGCAAAUUAAUGGGUAUCCUUCAUUGUUAAAGGUCUAUCACUUGAUUAAUUAACAGUAAUAGAUAAAUGUAGGUCUCACAAAUUUUCUUGUGGUUUUCAUCAAAAAGGAAACAAAUAUCAAAAGAAGAGACAUACUUUACUUUCUUGUGCUUAGAGACUCAUCUAAACAUUAUAUACAGGAAUUCAGAUUUUCACCUCCUUAUUUUAUUACUCUCUUUGUUUAACAAUUACUUUCCUUUUCAGUUCAUUUAAAAAAGAAUGAUCCCUUUUUCUUUUUGGCAAUACUUUAAUUUUAAUUUUUCAUAUGACAUGUUUAAGACCACAAGAUUAAAAGAUAUUUUGGUACAUUUGAUACAACUUUAAUUUAAGGCCACAAAGUUUAAAAGUCUUCUUUAUUUUUUUAAAUUUUGUGCCAAGUCAAAGUAGGUCAUUCUUUUUUAAACGGAGAAAGUAUAUUAUAAUACUAUUAUGUUACACUUGGGCAACCUAACAACUGAUACUCUAAGUAGUACAUGGGCUUUGUUUAACAGGCUUAACUGGGCCAUCAGAUCCAAUGAAUGUUCAUCACUGCUAACAUUCCGGGUCAGUUCAGGCCUUGAUAUCCAGCUAACAGACAGUAGCAGAGCAAUACACUAUUUUUCUUUUUUAAAAAAAUGGGGGUAGAGGAACACGUUGGGAGAGGGAUUACACGGCAGGGAAUUGAGUUCUUCACCAGCAAGAUGAAAACAUAGUCAACUAGUUGAGCUAUUAAUUAAGAUUUCUCUUUAGAGGGCAGUACUAAUUACCCUUGCAGACAAAAAAUUUCUUCACUCGAUAUUUAUGUUAAAGCAAAUAAUUUGACAUUAGCAGUUAGGAGUUAAAAUAAAAAGUUUUUAUUCGAAUUUAAGUCACAAAUGUGUGAGUGAAAUUAAAACGUAUAUCUUAUAUUCAUUUGUUUGGUAAAAAUAUAGAGUACCAUUAAUUUUUUUAUCCUCAACUUAGUACCCUGUAGGACAUUUCUAUCUUUUUUUUUAUUGAUACUUUUUUCCUAUUUAAUCCACUUAAGAAAGGAUUGAGACAUUUUUAUAUUUAGCAACUCAUUUAUAUUAUAGUAUUCACAUUUUAUUCUUGAUAAAUUUUCUUAUAGCUAGGAAUGACAGGACUAUAGUACAAGAUUCUAAAUAUAUUUUGGUAUUUUCUGCAUAUUAUUUAAUAUAACACAAGCAUUUACUUCGUUCGAUCAAGUAAAAUUAGAAGAAUUGGUCCUCUUUAUUCGAUCAAAGCACAAUAUAAUCAUUUAUUUUUUCAGGUGGUCUGAAGUUGUAGGGCAGAGGGAACAUAAUUCAUAUAAGGAAAGUUAAAAUUACACAUUUCAAUUUUUAUAACUUCGUUAUCAUUCGUCCAUUAGAAGUCAAUAUAAAAUGGUUACAAUUUUUUAUAACCUUCAUUUCUAGAUUUUGCCACUGAAUAUCCAUAGUUGAUUUUGCUCGAAAAAUAAAAAAGAUUUUUCCGUCAGGAACUCAAAUCCUUUCGUAUUUUUAUUUUCCUCAGUUUUCCUAGCUAGUACUACAAUAUUAUUGAACUCAAUUACUUUCUGCAUGGGAAUUUUCUCUGGGCUUCGAAUAUAAAUGGCCCUACACCAAAGAAAUCAAACUUGGGUGGUUGCAUUGGUCCUGGGCCAGGAUUACCUGGUGGUUUUGGUGGCGGCAUAGGUUUCAAUACAUCACCAGAUUUUCCAUUGUUGAAAUUUGUUGGCACAUUGCAAAUGCAUUUUGGUGAUUUGAUUAAGUAUACCUUGCAUUUGUGGACAUCUGAACUGGUUAAAGAUUUGGGUGUAAUAGCAAAAUCACCAUUCCUAUCUGUCAAUGCUGUUUGAACAUUUGCAUUGUUCCCAUUAUUGUGACACUCUAGCUUCACUGUAGCUCCUGAAGCAUAAACAAACACACAGCCUUUGAAAAAUUGAAGUAUAAGCUCAAUCAAAAUAAACAACAGAACUUAGAUUUGAUCCAUUUAGCUAUAUAAAGAACUUGUAUUUAUACAUAUAUAUUUUUCAGAGGCUAAUCAAGUAGGGUUGGAGCCAGUCCUCCACCUAUGUAUAUGUCUGGCUGAAUUUAGUAGCUUUCACUCAAAACUUUAUAUAUGUUUUGUAUUCAAAAAAUCAAGUUUAUGAAUAUAUUUUGUUUCAAGAAUUCAAUAAUAAAAAAUAAUUGUGAUUUAGAACCUAUAUGCUAAAAAUUAUGUUUGACAAGUUCAGAUAUUAAGACUAUUAACUAGCACUGUAACUUACUGUAUUUUUGAAUUCAAGAUUUAAUUAAUUUUAAUACUAUAAAAUUUUAGUAACUUCUCACACGUUAACCCUAUUGAACAAAGUUUGAAUUUGUCUCUGUGUAUUUAAAUGUGUUGUAUGAUAAUUUGCCUUAUUUCCUAGGUUAGUAAUUCCUUUUUUCUUUUGUAAGAGUGGUUAUCUAACAAAAUUAUUUUUUAAUUGAUCUGACAACGUAAAGAAUUUAAGUUGCAUGAAAGUUGUAGUAAUUUGUUUGAGUGCAUGCAAAUAGAAUGUGAAGGUAAUGAGGAGAGAAGGUAGUAAAAUAACCCUCGAGUGGAAAGGCUCUGAAGAGAUCUGGAAGUCCUCUGCUACUGCAAGAUUUGCAAUUAACACGGCCGACGACGAUUAGAGGCUUUCCGGCGGGAUGAAUUACCGGCGGUGGCAGCUUAUAUACUGGUGGACAUACAGUUGGUGGAAAUGGUUUUAUAAUAGGUGGUUGAUUAAUUGGUGGACGUGGUUCAUUGAUUGGUGGCUCAAGGAUCGGAGGCUCAAUAAUUGGUGGUUCGUCAUAAUCAUUUGGUGGCGGUGGUGAUGACUUAAUAGGUGGUUGAUUAGUUGGUGGUGAUGGUAGUCUCCUUGGUAGUUGAGUAGCUGGUGGUGAUAAUGGUGGUAAUAGGUUUGGUGGAGUAUCUGGUGGUGAUAAUGGUGGUCUUCUUGGCAGUUGAGUAGCUGGUGGUGAUGAUGGUGGUAGUAGGUUUGGUGGAGUAGCUGGUGGUGAUAAUGGUGGUCUCCUUGGUAGUUGAGUAGCUGGUGGUGAUGAUGGUGGUAGUAGGUUUGGUGGUUGAGAAGGUGGUGGUGCACGUUGGUCUGCUGGCGGUUGAGUAAGAGGUGACGGUGGAGGUGUUUGUCUUGGUGAUUGAGCUGGUGGUGAAUUGGUUAGUGGCGGUGGAGGCGAUUGAGAUAGGGGCGGUGGUGACUUAGUUGGCGGCGGCGAAAGUGGUGGUGUAGGUGAUUGAGCUGGCGGCGGCGGCGAAGGUGGUGGUGCAGGUGAUUGAGCUGGUGAUGGUGAAGGUGAUUGGGCUGGUGGUGGUGAAGGUGAUUGAGCUGGUGGUGGUGAUGACUUGGGUGACGGAGAAGGUGAUGGUGAAGGUGAUUGGGCUGGUGGUGGUGGUGACGACUUGGGUGGUGGUGAAGGUGAUUGAGCUGAUGGUGGUGAUGACUUGGGUGACGGAGAAGGCGGUGGUGAAGGUGAUUGAGCUGGUGGUGGUGGUGACUUAGGUGGCGGAGAAGGUGGUGGUGGUCGCUUAGCUGGUGGCGAUGGUGAUGGCUUUGGCUUAUUUACAGGUGGCUUUGGGUUUGGCUUAGGGAUCCCAGGCCGGGGCCUAGGGAAGAAGAACCAGUUGGUUGAGAUGAUUUCAUUGUCCUGAUGAUUGUCUAGUGACCAAUUUUCAAUGACUUCACCAAAGCUGAGCUCUGAGAAAGAGCCAACUGCUAAUGCUAAAACUUGUAUCAUGAGCACCAUGGCCUUUACUGAUGUAAAAGCCAUAGUUACUUUGUUAAUUACCUCAAACCAACUUGCGUAAAAGGAAGUAAGGUGAGCAUGAAUUUAUAGGAGCUUGAUAAGUCAUGUAUAUUACUUGAAUUUUGACUCCAUAUUAUAUUAUAAAGAAAAGAAAUGAAAAAUUGAAACACAUAUAUACUUCAUACUCCAUAAUAUUUCACUCACAUAGAUACACGUAUAGCAUUUGGACAUCUUAAUAUUUUUAACUUGUUAUUACAAGCAUACACUUCAUUUUCAGAUAACUAAUUCAACUAAUAUGAAAUAUUUACUUGAUUUAUCUUUUAUGAGAGAACAAAUAACUUACUAAUACUCUAUUUUUUUUUUUUAAACCACUCGGUGUCCGAUACCCGCUUUUUAGGAGUCUGACUAUAUCCAGAUUCGCCCCGCGUUGGGCCCCAUUUGGGGGAGAGCUCCCAACAGAGUGUUUGUCCAUACCCAGGGUCGAACCCUCGACCUCUCGGUAGGUUGGGACAGCCCCUUUCCGCUGCGCCACCACUGCUGUUGGUACUAAUACUCUAUUUUAUUACAUCGAUCGUCAAUGCAUGCUAGCUAACAAGGUAGGGGUCGUUUGGUAGAGUGUAUUGAAAUGUUAAUGCAUACAUUAGUUUAAAGUGUAUUAGUAGUACCUUAUUUGGUAUACCUUUUUACCCUAUGUAUAACUAAUGCAAACAUUAGUUAUACACUUUAUUGUGUAUUAAGGUAUGUAUUACUAAUACUUCAAAAUUCAUGACAUUAGUAAUGUAAUGGAUCUAAUGCAUGCAUUAACAUGCUUAAAGACCCUAUUACUCCUCAAAAAAAUUUUCGCAUCCUUUCCAACAUAUAUAUUGAGGGUAUUAUGUAAAAAAAAAAUUAUUUUUAGAAAUUAUGUAAUUCAUGUUUUUUUUAAUACAUCGAACUAAACACUGCAUAAGAAAAAUACAAGCAUUACUAAUACACCAUAUUUUACAUUAUUCUUAUAUACACUCUACCAAACGACCCCUAAAGUAUACACAGUACAUUUGUAAUAAGCCCUUCGCUCUGGGUGAUAUUGUUCCCUAAAAAUUAGUGGCUUAAAUCUAGUGUUUUAGUUAAUCUCCUGUAAAGUUAGUUUUAAUGGGAAGGAGUGUAAAAGUCAAAUAUUUCUUAAGCAGAUUAAGAGAGAUUUACGUUGUCAACCUUGUCAUGCAAUAUUUUUCUGUCUAGCUAUUUCAAGUGAAUGUUAUAUCAUAUAUGCAAGCAAAAUCAGUUUGAUGACAAUGCAAGAUUUUAACAUAAUCAAUUUUCAAGUUAUUUUGCACGCACUUUAAGGUGUGCAUAAUUGUUUUCUUUAGCUUCAUAUUUGCAUCUAUUAAUUCAUUGAAUUCUGGUAAUUAAUUAACUUUGUUGUGCCCUUUCUACUCUCUAACAUUCCAGGACCUGCACUUUUACAGAAUGAACUCCAUCACCAUAGUAGAAAUUUGAUCAAACAUGGGACAUGGCCAUUAAUUAUCUUUCACUGCAGAAUAAGCCAUGUGAUGAGAGUAUUUUAGUUGGCUUUAAAACGACCAAACAUUUGACAUGGCAUUGUUUUUCUUUUCUCAUUUUGCUGGUUCUUGAAGUAACACAGUAAUUAAUAACGUACGUUUAAGCAUCAUUAAAAUUAAUACGAGAGACUAAACUUCCCUAUAAAUUGUUCGUUUCAGUUCUAAUUUUCGGAUGCUAUAUGCAUUAUGCAUGACUGUGGAUGUUCGAAAUCAAAUUAAAAAGAAUACUAUAUAUGAUCAGGAGAACUAAGAAAAUCGUGACAAACAUAAUGCUCUCUCCGUUCCUAAAUAAGUGAUGUUAUCAAUUCUCUAGGACAUUCUAAUUAAGAGGGGGCAUGUGUUUGGGAAUAAUGUCAUUAAUUGGUUAAUUCUAUCUUGUUGGCCUCUGGCUCUAACACUUUGUUGAAUUUUGUUUCUUGAGGUAGCCUAAAUUCUUCUUGCAUUCUUAACAUCAUACGAAUUUAGAAUUUGCUUUGUCAUCCCAAGUUCAACAUCCUGAAGUAAAAGUGAAUAAGCAAGUUCCUUUACUUUGUUGUUUUCUUCUCGUAACAAAUGCUGUAGAACAAAGUUAUCCAGUAUCAAAAUAGAUGUUUACAUUGCAAUUUGUUUUGGAUCUAUUAUGCCAUUAGAAAAUUUCUUUCAUUCUCGUAGAAAUGUAGGGUAAAGAUGCAAAUGAAAGAUAUUGGUGGUCCAACUCUUUGCCGAAACUUUGUGCAUAACGAGAAUUUAGUACACCAAAUUGUCUUUAUUUUUCUUUAUAUGUUUUAAAAUUUUAGACUGGCUGAAACUUGAAAGACUUCUACUAUAUCUUGUUGAAGUUUUUAAUUAAUUCCAAGUUAAGAUUCUGGUACUGCUUUGGAUAUUAGGUAGCAGCGGAUUAAGUUGAAUUUGGGCAGAUCAAAAGAUCAAAAUAUGUUGAGUUAAUAAAUGACAAGUUAUUGACCUGUCCAAAGUUACUUAGAGUGAAUAGGCUAAAUGAGGGUCAAAACUCAACUGCCCAAUUCUUCUUAAAUAUUAAUUGCUUUUUUUUUUUAAAAAAAAAAGUUAUCAGUACCUAAUAAAUUAUUACUAUUAUUCUUUAUUAUGAUUAUAUAUAAAUGUCUUUUUAAAAGUAUUUAAACAAGAUUUCUCAUAAAUUAAUUUGGGCUAGAUAUCCUUCAAUUUUAGAUGGAUUUAAUGAAUAAAUGGUAGCGUCAAUAAUCAGUCCAAACUGAACGAAUGGGAAGAAUUAUAAUUUCAUGUGCUAGUUUUACCAUCAUCUAUGGAUUAUCAAUUGUUCCAAAUUGACUUAACGAUACUUUAUCUUCUCCCAGCAAGGAGGAUACUGUAAAUGUUGGAGAUUUUUUUAUUUUUUUUUUUGAUAAAUUUCUCAGUCAUCUGGGGGUGUUGUAUAUCAUACCAAAGGUUUAAUUACAACACACGAUAGAGACUAUCCGUCAAAAUAAAAAAGAAGAGCUUUCAACAAAACAACUUAUUGCUCAUUCUCCUACUGUGCAUAAAGUAAUUAGCCUAACCAACAAAAAAUUUGCCUUGUCAUCUUCAGUUCUAAUGGAUGGAACUUGUCUCUUGUCCAAGCAUAAGAGGCCUUUAGCACCAUUUUGAAGCUCCUGCUCUGGCAAAUAGAUGUUGUUAAUUUGAGAGUUCAAUGCCAUUUUGGCCAGCCAGUCUACAAGUGGAUUAGCUUCCCUAUACCAAUGCUUAUAUUUUGCCGUUGUGUGCUUGAACUAUCCAGAGGUGUUGUCAAUAAUAUAAUCUUGUUAAGUCUAAAGCUUCCUGCCUUCUUUUCUUUGAGUAUUUCGGUAACGACCAUGGAGUCUAAUUUUAUAAGAAGGUUGGUGUAUCCAUUGUUUCUACACCAAUUAACUGAUAUGGGAAUUGAGAAGGCCAUGAUCAAUUGUCCUCCCUCAUCUCUGAGCGCUCCCCCCAAACCUGCUUUGAUAGUGUCCUUGUCGAAGCUUCCAUCAGUAUUCAAUUUGAUGAAGCCCGGUAUAUGAUUGGUUAUGAUCCUUCCUAGUCAAUUUUGGAGAUGAUGCCACGUAUAUGAUUGAUUGGUUAUGAUCCUUCAAAGUUAUUCCAUGUACCAGGAGCCAUUGUUGAUAAAAUAUUUGACUAGGAGUUUUCAACUCUUCGCAGAAUCAGUAGCUCGGUGGGCCGGGCUAGAGGACUUAUACAAGUUCAAUUGUCGGAGAUAUAUGAACAUAUUGAUUUCAAGACGAAAUAAAUAAUAUCAUCAACACUUCAUCUAUGUCCUUGUACGUACAUGAGAGAUUUUGGAGAUUCAAAACCUAAAGUAAUUCGUGCAUUCAAAGCCAAUAAUCAAAGUCAAAAUUUCAAUAUUUCUUAUAGACUACAAUUUUGACUCUGUGACAUGCGAUUUUUCUGUAUUGGUACAAACUUUUGUCUCCAAUGAUAUAUAGUAAACAAAAGAAAAAAGUUUUUUCCAUAACUCAGUGCUCUUAUAUAUUCUUUAUUUUUCCUACAUUUCUGUUCGACAAGUACUUUAUUUUUACUUGUUCUAGUAAGUUACCUGCCUUUGUCUCCCAAGACUCGAAGGCUUAUAAUUAUUUAUGCAUAGUGCAUGGCAUUUUGCUUGAUGCUUCAAAAAUAAAAGUUUCAACUGUUAGAAUCAUUUAUUUUAUGUGAACUUAUAUUAAUUUUUAUUAUAUUAAAGUAAUAACGGGCUGAUGUUAUUAGUUGGUGGACAAGACACAACCCGUGUAUUCAUGCGGAUUCCAUAUGGACCUGUAUCUAUUUCAUGUUAUUGGUGUGAGCUAGCAAUAGUGUAGGUCUGUAGUAGACUGUGAGCCCAUAAUGGGUGGUGCACUAGGUUAAGGCUUUUAAUCCUAUAAAUAUAAGACUUUUAACAUAAGAUGUAUUCUCAUAAGCUGUCAGUAUUUCCAUAAGCUGUCAGCCGUCAUAAGCAAAGGAGAGAAAGACUCAGCCUAUUUCGUCUUCGAUUAUGUGUUCCAAUGACAGACAAAGGUACGCACCUUAUUUCUCGCAUAUUUCGUUACUUUAUAGGUGUUCUUGGUUUAUGUGAACCUGUGGUGUGUUUCUAUGUUAAUAUAACACUUGGUAUCAAGAGCUUUUCACAUAGAUCUUGAACCCUAUGAACGAAUACUAUGAUGUAUGUUUCGAGAACCUCAAUUUGGUUGUAAUUUAAUUUUCUUUUUCGCUGCGUUUUUUGAUGAUAAAGUGUUGAAGUAGAGGUGUUAAUUGAUGUGAUGACUAAGAGCCCGUUUGGUAGGAUUAAAAGUAUUGCUUUUUAGCUUAAGUGAUUAAAAGCUUAAAAUAAGUGCUUUUAAAUUAAGCAGAUAAGUGUUUGGAUAGAAGUGCUGUAACUGAAAAAAAUCUGUUGAUGUGUUUGGUAAACAAGUGUUGUCAAUCACUUUUUUUGUUGUCAAAAUGACUUAAAUAUCCUUAAAGCUGUUAACACAUAAUAACGUGAAUUAUUUAUGAUUUUUAAUUCUAAUACUUCAAAAAUAAUUUCUAUUUAAAUACACUUGCAACGUAAAGUGAUUAUGCCAGGUCAAUGUAUAAAUAUAAGUUACUUUUUUAUUUUAAAUAUUAAAAAAUAAAAAUUUUAAGAUAUUUUUUAUAUAAAUAUAGUAUUAUAUUGUAAUAUUGCAAGCUUGUAAACAACAAAAAAUUUUUAGCAAUUAAAAUAAACUGUUAAAAAGAAUCAAUUUUUAAAAUUUAAAUAACAUACAGAGAUUCUAUAUGAACGGAUAGAGAAGAACUUACCACAAGCUCGAUUUGACAAUAAAAUUUUUAAGUGUUUUCUUAUGUAAUGAUGGAUUCCCUGAAAAUAAAGGAGAAAGAUGAAGAGAAAACUGGAGGAAAAAGAUAAAAAAAAACGACAAAAAGAAAAAGAAAGAAAAAUCAAUAAGGGUUACAAAGUUUAGAGUAUUGUUGGAAUUAGAAGAAAAUAUAAGAGAUAAAAAGGUAAAUGUUUUCGUCAAGCCUAAAAAAUUUUUAAUCUAAAAAGUAAAAAGCUGAGGGUAUCCAGCUUCUCAAUUUUUGCUUUUUUCAAUCCACUUUUAGCUUUUUUUAAACUCUUUUUAAUUUUACCAAACACCUAAAAAAGCUAAAAAAGUGAUUAAAAUUUAGUUUGACCAGAUUUUAAUCCUAUCCAAACACCCUCUAAGUAAAUACGACGUGAUCUAUUAAAGUUGAAACUCAAUAUGGAUCGAAUUUGUAUGAAUCUUCACUGUCGCUUGCUUAAUAGACUGCAAUAUUUGAAAGACCACUGAUUUAGUAUUGAGAUGGUUACUAGAUAGAUUAUUUGGAACGUCUAUGGAUCUUUGUUUUUCUUUUCUUUUUUCUUUUUGGAUUAUAAUCUGCUCUAAUGCAACUUCUUUACAAAUUUUGUUGGUUCUUUGAAUAAUUGGCAAAGCCGUGAAAGAUGAAACAAGUCGUAGAUAGAGUACCAGAUUAGACAUACGUUGUUAAACAUAAUAAUGAUUUGUAGGCUCCACAAUGUCAUAAGAUAUCAAGCUCUUCUCAAGUUUACUGCUGAAAUUAUUUUAUGACAAUAUUAGUUUUCCAUUUGGUUUAACUGACUUGGAACAUCUCAAAAGGUGUACAUAUGAUUAUGAGUCAGGCGAUGACCAAAUCAAUUAGAUUUGGAAAAACGGAUGAAAUCAAAUCAAUUAGAUUUGGCUUUUAGAAAUUGUGGCGUGUUUUUCGAGUUCUAGGGGUUAUUGUUGUGGGUAAUGGAACAGUUGUUUCUGUUCGAUGUGGAAAUAUGAAAAUUAAUCUACGGAGUGCUGUUACUUUAAAAUAAAAUUGUCUGGAGCUGUAAUUUCAAAAAAAAUAAGAUUGUUGGUAGGAAUUUGAUAAGGUUUCGAAUUAGACUUUGGUAAUAUUAUUGCACAGUAAAGUGUUAUGCUUUCUGUAAGGUAAUGAGAGGAUUUAAUUCGGGUUCUAUAGUGUGAUUAAUAUAUGAAUCACUAUUUAUGUGGGCCAAUAGAAAACCCAGUUGAAUUUUAUUUUUUUUUGAGUUUGGAGAUGUCCUGCGAAGGUAAAGAUAUACAACUUUUCAAAAAAGAAAACUGAACCUAGAUCUUGUGUUGUUUUUUUUUUUUCAUUGGUUAUCCAACUCAUUCUAAAGUAUACAGGUUCUACUGUCUUACAAGGAGAACCAGAAUAGUUGAAACUUAAAAAGCAAAAUUUCUUGUAUGUGAGACUAUUCUAAACUUCGUGGGCAUAAAUUUAUCGAUUAAACAAACAUUUAAGGUAUUUAAUUUCGUACAUGAGAUGGAUUUUAAAAUUGUUGAAGAGCAUGCAUUGUAAGGCCCGUUUUUCCUAAACUUGAAUUGUUUUCAUGUGUACAUGCGUUGUUAGUUUGAAAAGUUAUAUGAAAGCAUGAUUUGGGUGUUACUUCUCUUGUUAUGAAAUCCAUUAUCCUAACAAUGUUAUGGAUUGUUAUUGUUUUAUGAAUGAAUGAGAGGGGUUUUUUUUCCUUAAUUUACAAAUGCUCAUUUUUCUAAUAAAGAAUGUGAAUGUGCAUGUGAUUGAUGAAAGAGAUGACCACCGUAUGAUAAAAUAUAAGUUUUCAUUUGUUUUGAAAUAAGAACUCCUCCUGUGAUGUUUAAAUAUUUUGGGUGGUCAUUAUCAUGCUUUUGAAUAAAAAGGCUAUAGAUGUGAUGUGGUAUGUAAUGAAUAAAUUUGCAGGGAUGAGGUAUGACUUUACUGGGUGUUAGAGAUUUUUCUCACUGUCAAUGUUCUGCACCAUAAUUGAUUUAUCUUGAAUCAUCUUUUUAAUUUCUCUUUUCAAAGCACGACAAUCUUCAAUAUUGUGACCUUGAACAUUAAAAUGAUAUGCACAUCGUACAUUAGGAUCAAAACUUCUUGAAUGUGGGUCAAGAGUAUACCCAAGGAGAGGAGUGAUCAUGCCCUGCUGUACCAAUCUCUAAAAUAAACUUGCAUACGACUCUCCAAUUGGUGUGAAGCUAUCCCUCGACUUCUGCCUUUUAUAAAAAGCUCCUAUUGAAAUACAUCUCUUUAAAGUUUUCGAAUUGUGAAUGAUUUUCAAAGGAAACAAAAAACAAGUUCAUAUUCGGUCCAAAUUGAAAACUCUUGAAAUAUCUCUUCCUGAUACUUACAUUGUUCACACUGCUUUUAACUCUUUGUCUGCCGAGUUUAGCCAAAUGAAAGCUGCCUAUAAUACUUAAGAUGAAUUUUGAUCAAUCAAUGUUCUUAUCUCUAAAUGUGUUGUUGAAGAGGAAAAAAUUUAAAAAAGAGAAGGGUAAGGUUGCCAUGUUAGCUUCUCAUGAUUCCAAAGCAAGCUCUAGCAAAGACCUAGGAAAAUUGAAAGAUCUAAUAAUCAUUGAACAUAUACCCAUCGAUUUGAUACUUUCCGAUCCACUAACUAGGGACUAAGACCCAUAGUUUUUAUGCAACAUGUUCAGAAUAUGGGUGGUGUUGAGUCAUUUGAUUUGCUGGGUUAGUGAGAGUAUUUAAUAUUAUUAUUCAUUUGUCAUUAGACUAUUCACCUUGUUGUUUCAGACUUAUGGUGAUAUUAUCUCUUGAAUUAACAUUUACGUUAUGGUAGAUUUUGGUAUCAUUUAUGUUGAUGAUAUUUUACUUGCUAAUAAUAAUUUGAGACUGUUGCAUGAAACUAAACAUUCAUUGAACAAAAUGUUUGAUAUGAAAGAUCUAAGAGAGACAUCAUUUGUUCUGGGCAUUGAGAUUCAACUAGAUAGAUCUCGUAAGUUAUUGGAGCUUUCACAAAAGGCCUAUAUUGAUCGUAUUUUUAAAAAAGAUUUCAAAUGGAAAAUUUUAAGCCCGAUAAUGUCCCUGUGGUUAAAGGUUAUAAGUUAAGCCUAGAUUUGUAAGAUUCUAUCAAAGAUGUGUCUUAUUCAAGUGUUUUUCCGCUACAUUUCUUGUUUAUAGAGUGUUAAUUUUAUUUAUUUUUUAUAUUGGUUGAAGUACAGUCGGCAAACUAAAGACUUCAUUAGAAUACGUUCUGGCAGCUAUGUUAUUAAAGAUUCAUUCAUUUAUUUAGUUCUAUAUGCUUAGAUUAAAUAAUAUAAAAAGUUAUUUAUUUUAUAAAAAAAUAAAAAAAAUAAAAUUUAAGCUAUUGUUUAUAAAAGAUGUCGAAUUGUUAUUUAUUUAUUUAUUUAUUCUAUUUGAAUUUGGUUUCAUUUGAAUUGCAACUAAAUUAAAUUUAUAAUAUUUUUAAUUGUGUGGUUACUUACUGUGUCACAUGAGUAAAUUAAGCAAUGCAUGUUGAAUCCCUGAGAUUGAAUUUGUUUUGUAAAAUUAGGGUAAAUAGUGUACACCAAAGUGAUCUAUUUGUUUUGCUUUACGAGACCUGUUUAAUCCAUUUCGAGGGAUAUCACUAAGUUAGAAUGUACAAUGAUCUGCCCAAAGAAGAUUUAUUGUGUGUUUUAAAUUAGUAUUGUGAUGCGCCCCAUUAUGUGAAAAUAUUUUGAUUUUAGUAAAUUUAUAAUCUGCCCAAAGAGGAUAGUUUCUAAUAUUGAAAAUAUUUUCUUGCCCUGCUCAAAGGGGGGCUACUUGCUGAUGCUGUGGGACUCAUCGUUGUGAUAAGAUUAUUAUUUUUAUGCCUUGAUAUUUUGAUAAAUUCAUUCAUGUUAUGUUGUGAAAAGUUACUAUUUAUUUGAACAAUAACAAUGCUGAGGUUAUGAUUCUAUCGAGCUCUAACUUUAUGUGAUUUAAAAAAGAUAUUGAAUUUGCUUUGGGCAUGACUGACAUAGAUCAAUCCUUGCAUGAGGAUGAGCCUCCAGCUCUUACUGAUUCUAGUAUAGCUGCUGAAAAAGAAUUUUAUGCUAAGUGGGAGAGAUCUAAGAGGUUAUUCAUCCUUGCCUUUAAAAGGUUGAUUGCUGAGCAGCUCAAAAGUGGCUUGCCUGAAACUAUCGAUGCCAAAAGAUUUCUUGCCCAAGUGGAAGAAAAGUAUUUUGUAUCCAUUAAGUCUGACACUGGAGAUCUAAUGAAUAAAUUUAAUUUGGUUAUGGUUUUGAUUCUCUUAAUGAAAAAUUGAAUUUGCUUUUGAACUUUCGAGUUGUUGGUCAUGGAAUCUGAUGGUUUGUUUAAAAUUUUCUUGGCUUCUGAUUUUGAAUACAACUCUUUUAGUUCUGAAAUUGUUGGGUCUAAAUGAUAAUUUUAAACGAAAAAUCGGGUUUGUGGUGAUACAGGCGUUUAGGUCAUAUCUCUAAGGGUAGAGUUGAUAAAUUGGUUAGUCUAAUAUUUUACCUUCUUUUGAUUUUAGGGACGGAGGAACAUGUAUUGAUUGCAUUAUAGGAAAGUUGAUCAAAAAAAAAUAUUACUCGUAGUUCUGAUUUAUUGAAAAUCAUUCACACAGACAUAAGUGGUCUGUAUUUUACUACAAUAUGUGGUUCAAGUUAUUUUAUCAUCUUCAUUGAUGACUUUCUUCGAUAUGGUUAUAUAUUUCUUAUUAAAGAAAAAUCAGAUUCUCUUGAAAAGUUCAAAGUGUUUAAAACUGAAGUAGAGAAACAACUAGGAAAGGUUAUUAAAAAACGUGAGGUUUGAUCGAAGGGGUGAGUACUAUGGUAGAUACACAGAGAAUAGGCAACAAAUGGGACUCUUUGAUCUUGAGCUACAUCAGAUUGAUGUAAAGACAGUCUUUUGAAUGGUGAUCCUAAUGAAGAGGUUUACAUGCAACAACCUCAAAUUUUUUUUUGGGUAAAAGGAAUGAGCAUCUUGUGUGUAAGUUGAAGAAAUAUAUCUAUAGCUUGAAGCAAACUUUUGGACAGUGGUACUAGAAGUUCGCAAAAAUUAUCACUUUAUGAAAUUUGUGGAGAACAAGAUUGAUCAUCGCAUCUAUCUUAAGAUCAGUGGGAGUAAGUUCAUCUCAAUCUUUUAUUGAUUAUUAUUGUGCACACUUUAAUAUUGUUUUAUUAUAUUAAGGCUUUUGCCUUACGUGUUGGCUAUGUCUCAUAUUGAUAAGAUCUUAUUGUUGUUUUAUUGGAUCUUUCUUUUGGAAACAUAUAUGGUAUAUCAUUCUACCUUGUGGAUUUUCUAAUUGUUGCACCAAGUAAUAUGUUGCAAAUGUUGAACGUUGAAAAUCAAGAUUUUUUGGUGAAGCACAUGUUGUUUUAGUGCUCACACAUGUUGUAACAGAAAAUUGCGGUGACGAUUUUUCUAUGGUACACAUGUUGAUUUUAAGCGUACAUGUUGAUAUAAAAAAUUGUUUGAAGGACUAACAAUGAAAUAACCUCGAUUUAGAGUCCAUAUUGACUAUUUCUUGCUACACUACCACAUCAUUUGAUUUAUGUCUUCAAAACUUCAAUGUUAGUAAUUGUGGACUGAUCUUGUAUCGUUGGUUAAUGCAAGUAUUGCUGCAGUUCAACAGUGUUGUUUUGCUUGACUGAACUAUGUUGGAGAUGGCAUUCCACCACUAAAUAUUUAUGGCCACUGUCUAUUCAGUCCGAGAGUCAUUUUCAUAAAAAUAAAUUUUCCAAAACUUUUCUUUAAAAGUUAACAUUGUCCAAGUGGGAGAAUGUUAGAAUUAUUUAUUUUAUGUGGAUUUAACAUUAACUUUUAUUACAUUAAAGUAAUAACGGACUGAUGUUAUUAGUUGGUGGACAAGACACAGGCCGUGUAUUCAUGCGGAUUCCAUAUGAGCCUGUAUCCAUUUCAUGUUAUUGGUGUGGGCUAACAAUAGUGUAGGCCUGUAGUAGACCUGUGAGCCCAUAAUGGGGGUGCACUAGGUUAAGACUUUUAAGCCUAUAAAUAUAAGGCUAGGUCCCUCUCCUGACUUUAACAUAAGACGUAUUCCUAUAAACUGUCUGUCGUCAUAAGCAAAGGAGAGGAAGACUCAGCCUAGUUCGUCUUCGAUUACGUGUUUCAAUGGCGAACAAAGGUACACACCUUAUUUUUCGCAUAUUUCGUUACUUUAUAGGUGUUCUUGAUUUAUGUGAAUCUUUGUGGUGUGUUUCUAUGUUAAUAUAACAUAAUCAAUAUAUAUUUUACUUAAUUUAAUUACACAACCAUAAUAAAGAACGUUACUUUUAUUUAACCAUAAUAUAUACUUGGGUUUUGUUAUUCCAUUCAUGAAUUUAAUGUUUUGUCAUCUCUACUACAUAGACAAUAUAUAAGACAGUUUUCUUGAUCUAACUAAACUGGGCUCAUGGCAGCUGGUCCCAAAUAUAAUAUGGAGAAAGCUUCUUUCUUACUUUUCUUGAGAAGUCGGUCAAGUUGGUAAAUAUCUUCUGGACCUCCCUUUAGGAAUGGCAUACUGCUCAAAAAAGUUAAACAAAAUUCCAUCUUCUUUAAGGCAUGAUCAAUCUGAUUAAUAACUUGUUUAAUUUGGCCUUCAUGAUAUUUUUUAAUUGCCAAUUCAAUAUCCUGGAUAACUACAUACAUGUCACACUCUGUAUAAUCUUCUGCAGUAACAGGCUUAUGAGCUACUUCCUUUGCAGAUCGAAGAGUUUUUCCAAGAUCAUCGUCACCCAAACAUAUUUCAGGAAUAAAUACUAUUAGGAAAAUGCAUGUAAUGGAAUUUGUACUGGUACGUCCCAUUAUUAUAUUUUUGUUACUUUCUCCUCCUUUGAUUUGAUAUAUCAAAGAGUUUUCUUUUACUUUCUUUUAUACUCCAUCAUUUUUAUAUCAUAAUUAAUUGCAUGCAUGCAUGCAUUGAUUAGGAUGUUCUAUUUAAAUCUAAUUUUUAGAUCUUGAAUAAAUGCGACAUUUAAUAAGACAAAUUCAUCUGAACUUUAGCUUAUAGAUAUAGUAACAACUUUUUACGUUAUAAAAUGUGCCUCCUAAUUGAAGUAUUAGGUGGGAAAGUUUAGUUUUGAUUACUAAUGAAAUAAUUAAAAGCAACAUUGUUUUUUUACCAAUAUUGGACACAUUUGCUCGUGACCUAUAUUUCGUUGCUGUAAGGACCUUACUAUUUUUCAUAUGUUGAAACAGUAAUAUAUUUUCAAGGCUUAAUACAUAACACUUUAAAUUCAUCGGAAUCCUCCAUUGGCAUAAUGCAUAUACAUGCUCUUUAACUUGGUCACAAUUCUCAUUUAUAUCCUCUAAUUUUAGGUGUACAAAAUAAAAACUUAAACCUGUAUAAAGAUGAAUAAGUAGAUACGCAUAUCUUACAUGGCAUAAUACAUGUAGAUUGUAGAACAAUACAUAAAGUGGGAGUUUCUUCGAGUCAUGACAAUCAACAAAUUCUAUAUCUAUAUGAUCCCCUUUUCAAUGCUAGUAAUCGAUUCAAAAAGAUGAUGGGUUCAUACGUUUUUUAAUGGGCCUGUCGUGGGUCGGCCCGUACAGUACUAACCCUUAAGACCCUAGCACAGGUCCAAUUAUCUUGCUAAUUGAUUCAAAAUUUCUAUUUUGUUUUAGUUUAAGAGAAAUUUUGUUUGAGUUAAAGUGACUGGCUGAAACUUCAUGGAGUACGACGGUUCAAUUGAUAAAACAUAGCAAUCAUAUAAAACAUAUAAAUAAGCAAAUGUCGAUGUCAAUAAAGUUAGUAUAUCUUAUUGUACAAGCAUUUCCAAGACGCAGUAAAUCAAUGAGCUAUUUGUGGGGCUUGUCCCAAGACCUUAUUACUUGAGAAAGCUAAUAUUUGUUUCUUAAUAUUGUUGAUAAGUAUACAAGAUUGGCAAUAUCUUCCAUUAUAUCUUUGCGAAUAUAAAACUCAGCCUCAGUUGUUUCUUGACAAAUUGUAAUGUGACUUAAGGCUCCCUCAAUUUGUCUGAUAGCAUUAGAGUCGUCAAAAUGGGGUUUGGCCCUUGACUUAUGGAUUAAAUAUAAUUUUCUUUGCGUGCAUACAUCUAUCAUCCGGCCUCAAAAUAGCCAAAGAAGUACUCUUUUCGAAGUAACAACAUUAAAUUUGGUCUCUUAUAAUCAAUCUAAUUAGGACAAAAAAUACCAACCAAACGGAAGUGUGAUUGCAUUCUUCUUAAAGACGAGAAAUUGAUCUAGAUUCUUUAAAAGUUUAGCCAUAUAUCGGUGGCUCAAAUAACACUCAUAACUAUACGAAGAAGAGUUAGUGAAAAUUUACUGUGAUAUUAAUAUUUCAAAUGAAGUUAUUGUAAAACAUUUCAAAAGAAGAAACGUCGUCAAGUAUGGUGCGGUUGAGAUAAUGCAUGUAAUGUAAUUACGCUCUGCUUUCAUUUGCAAAAGCUAUUUUGUUAACUUCUCUGUUUGUUUAUUCAUGUAUAUUUCGACCACACUUGAUAAUGAAAAUUCUGGCUUAAAUUCGCUCCUGAUGCACAAGGCCACUGACGGUUGCAGUCUUGGAGGCGGGAAGAGAUGGAGGUUCAAACGGCUUAAUUGGUAUACGUGGAAUAAGGGGUUGUUUCGCUACUGGUGAUGGAAAUGGUGCUAAUAGUAUUACAGGUGGCUGAGCAACUGGUGAUGGAGAUGGUGCCAUUUCUGGUGGAUUAGCAAUUAAUGGUGCAGGAGCUGGUGGAGGCGUUUUCUUAGAAAGUGGUGGUGGUGGUGGUGGAGAUGGUUCCUUAACUGGUGGUGGAGGUGGUGGUUGCUUUGCUGGUGAAGGUAGCUUUGCAGACUGACCAGGUGGUGAUGGCUUACAUUGUGAAGGUGGAGGAGGUGACUUAUUAACUGGUGGUGAUGGUGACGAAGGCGUUGGGUUAUUACCAGAACCAAUUGAGAUGCCAGGAAUACCAGGAAUUGUAGAACCCGAACCACCAGGGCCGCUGAGAAAAUGAGGAAUUAAAGGUGAUGAGUCUGUUGACGGCGGAGGUGGUGUUUUUGGUGUUGACGAUGGAGCUGGCGGUGAUGGUGAUGGCGAAGGUGGUGGCUGAGGUGGUGAUGAUGUUGAUGGUGAAGGUGGCGUAGGUGAUGGCGAAGGUGAUGGUGCUGCUAAUGGCCGAGGUGGUGGUGAUGGUGAUGGUGACGGUGAAGGUGGCGGAGAUAAUGGUAAUGGUGAAGGAGGCGGAGAUGAUGUUGAUGAUGACGGCAAAGGUGCUGGUGCUGGUGAAGGCCGAGAUGAUGGUGAUGGUGACGGAGAUAAUGGUGAUGGUGAAGGAGGCGGAGAUGAUGUUGAUGAUGACGGCGAAGAUGCUGGUGCUGGUGAAGGCCGAGAUGAUGGUGAUGGUGACAGAGAUAAAGGUGAUGGUGAAGGAGGCGGAGAUGAUGUUGAUGUUGGGUCCUAUAUGUGUGUUGAAUGGAAAAUGGAGAAAUCAAGUGGAAGAGAAAAUUGAGUUUACACCAAAAUGAAAAGUGUACUCAAAAUUGGCAAGUUUACUCUUUCUCCCACAUUGGUGGAAGAAGAGAACUUGAGAGUGUUUAUAAUGAGAAACACUUACUCCAUAUGGCAAGUGAGGUAAGAAAUAAAUGAUGCCUUGCAUCGUCGUUGCUCGCUCGAUUUCGGAUUCCUAUGUGUUUUUGGACAAACUUUAUUUGAAUUCCGAAGAAUGCCAAGAAAAAAUGCAGUAAAUUUUUACAGCAGAUUUUUGGAACUCCAUUUAUAUAUAUGAAGCGUACAGUAACAGUGAAACAGUAACAGAUGCAAUGGUUUGAAUGAACUGGUGCCUUUUCGAACUGAUGUUGCUACAGAAGGUUGCACUGCUUCAUGAACUGAUGCCCUAUUUUCGAACAGAUGCUAUAGAAAGUUACAAUUGUUCAACGAAAAUACACACUGAUUCACGAAGUGACAUUCCUGUUCGGAACAGAUGCACUGUUUAGGAUAAACAGACAUGCAUUUUCAGGAAAAGUCAUACCUAUAGAUUGAACCAUUGCCACCUUUUCAAAGGGGCAUGGUAUGACUAUAAAUAACCUGCUUUAUUCCACAGGUUUUAUAUGAAAUUUUCAGAUUACAAAAUCAUUCUUCUUGUCUUCAAAAUACUCUUUGUGAUUAUACAAACAGUUGAUUGCGUUCGUAGAAUCUAACUAUUUGAGGUACCGCUAUAGUUGGAUUGUUGGCCAUUUUAUCUUGGGAGGAAAAAUUCCACAACCUCAAGUAUAGUGAGGGGAAUUAUUUCCUAAAGGAAAGUCCGUGAAUUCGGACGACUUGGCCUUAAUCAUUUCUGUUUCAUCUUUAUUUUCUGAAAAAUAAAUAUACCUCUUGAAAAGGUCAUUUUGAUCUUAUGUUGAGUGUAUUUAAUACUUCAUUGUGUUCUUGUUCAUACUUGAACUCGAGUUAAAGUUGUUGUUGCAAUAUACAGCUUCUGCAUACCCAAAUAUAUUGUGGAAAUAACAAUCUUAAGGAAAUAACCUUUACAAAAUCUGUAUUGCUUGUUUUUGGAGAUUAAAGCUUAGGCUUUCUACUCCUCUUGAAUUUAACUAGUGAUUAGAAGACAUAAAAUCUUCAUCACAAGUUAAGGUUCAUUCGGUUGACGAUUCGAAGUAAUAAAAAUUUUAGCGUUAACUAGAAACAAGAAGAAGAGUUUCAAGUUAUUUAACUUUAUAAAUAGUAUUCUGAAAAAUACUAAGUUUUCUGCCUUGUGGUGACAGGAAAAAAUGACAACUGAAAGUCAAAUGAUGGAUGCGACAACGUCUAUAGGGGCAAAUAAUAUUGCCAUAUCAAGUUGCACAAAUGCUCCGCUAACGAUGGCACCGGCGGAGAAGCCCGGAAAAUUUUCGGGCAUUGACUUCAAGCGGUGGAAACAAAAGAUGUUCUUUUACCUCACCACUUUAUGUCUACAACGGUUCACUAGCGAAGACGCUCUUGAGGUGUCCGAGGAAACCUCAGACAAAGACCGCUUCGUUAUUGUAGAAGCUUGGAAACAUUCGAAUUUUCUUUGCAGGAACUAUAUUCUGAGUGGUCUCCAAGACGACCUUUAUAAUGUCUAUAAUGGAACCAAGACAUCAAAAGAACUGUGGGGGGCACUUGAAUGGAAAUAUAAAACAGAGGAUGCGGGAAUUAAGAAAUUCCUCGUUGCACAGUUCCUAGACUUCAAAAUGAUUGAUAGCAAAUCUGUUGUCUCUCAAGUACAGGAGUUGCAAGUCAUCAUACAUGAUAUCCUAGCAGAAGGUAUAUUUUUGAAAAAUACCGUAGUUAAAAAAAUUAAAAAUGUUCUUAGUACUCACAUAAACAGUUUUGUAGGUUUAAUUGUGAAUGAUGCUUUUCAAGUUGCAGUGAUAGUUGAUAAGCUACCACCUUUGUGGAAAGACUUCAAAAAACUACUUGAAGCAUAAACGCAAGGAGGUGACUGUUAAAGAUCUUAUUGUCCGACUUCGUAUUAAAGAGGACAAUAAAUCUGCCGAAAGAAGUUCAAAGGGAAAUUCUACAAUGAAUGAAGCACAUAUUGUAGAAGAUGGCCAAAAAAACACGAAGAAAAGAAAGAAAGUUGAACAUGGAAGCAAUCAACCCAAGAAAAAGUUCAAGGAAAAAUGCUUCAAUUGUGGCAAAAUUGGCCACAAGUCCACAGAUUGUCGAGCCCCAAAGAAAGGCAAGAAAAAGGACCAAGCGAAUAUGAUUGAAUCCAACAAAGAAAGCGAUGAUCUGUGUGCUAUGUUCUCAGAAUGCAACUUGACGGGGAAUCCUUGCGAAUGGUGGAUGGAUUCUGGUGCCACCUGCCAUGUUUGUGCCAACAGAGAGUUGUUUUCGUCAUUUGCUCCGGCUCAAGUAGAGGAAAUGAUCUACGUGGCUAACUCCGCUACUGCUAAGGUGGAAGGAACAGGGAAAAUAUGCUUGAAAAUGACUUCGGGCAAGGUCUUGACACUUAACAAUGUCUUGUAUGUUCCCGAAUUACGUAGGAAAUUAAUCUCCAUUUCACUUCUAGAUAAGAACGGAUUUAAAUGUGUAACCGUUUCUGAAAAAAUUGUAAUUAGCAAAAGAGAAAUAUAUGUAGGAAAAGGCUAUCUCACCGAGGGCCUUUAUAAGAUGAAUGUAAUGACUGUUGACAUAAAUAAAAGUUCAAAUUCUUCUUAUUUUCUUGAGUCUUAUGAUUUAUGGCAUGAACGUUUAGGCCAUGUUAAUUACAAAACUUUACGAAAACUGAUUAACUUAGAAGUUUUGCCAAACUUUGAGUGCAAUAAAUCUAAGUGUCAAACGUGUGUGGAAUCAAAGUAUGCAAAACAUCCUUAUAAGUCCGUUAAAGGAAUUCCAAUCCCUUAGACUUAAUACACACUGAUAUUUGUGAUAUGAAGUCAACACCAUCUCGUGGUGGGAAAAAGUAUUUCAUAACUUUUAAUGACGAUUGCACUAGAUAUUGUUAUGUCUAUUUGCUAAAUUGUAAGGAUGAAGCAAUAGAUGCAUUUAGGCAAUAUAAAACUGAAGUUGAAAAUUAGUUAGACAAAAAGAUCAAAAUUAUAAGAAGUGAUAGGGGCGAAGAAUAUAAAUCUCCCUUUGCGGAAAUAUGUGUAGAGAAUGGAAUAAUCCAUCAAACUACGGCCCCAUAUUCACCUCAAUCUGAUGGAAUUGCGGAAAAAAAAAAUCAAACUUUGAAGAAAAUGAUGAAUGCCUUACUUAUAAGUUCUGAUUUACCACAAAACUUAUGGGGGGAGGCUAUCCUUAUGGCUAAUCGUAUACUCAACAGAGUUUCCCAUAGUAAGACACAAUCAAUUCCUUACGAAAAAAGGAAAGGAAGAAAACCUAACUUGAAAUAUUUAAAAGUGUGGGGUGUCUAGCGAAGGUUCAAGUUCCUAUACCUAAAAGGGUUAAGAUAGACCUAAAAUGGUGGACUGCGUGUUCAUAGGAUAUGCUAAAAGUAGUAAAGUAUGUCGAUUUUUGGUUCAUAAAUCCGAACAUCCUAAUAUUAGUGAAAAUACGGUAAUUGAAUCAGACAAUGUUGAAUUCUUUGAAAAUAUUUACCCGUAUAAAAUUAGACAUGAACAGUCUAGUGGAGGAUCUAAACGACCCCGAGAUGAACCAAGUGAGAAUGUACAUAAUGAAGAAAAUCCAAGACACAGUACACGUCAAAGAACGUCAACUUCGUUUGGAUCGGAUUUUGUAACAUUUCUCUUAGAAAAUGAGCCUCAAACAUUUAAAGAAGCGAUGUCUUCGUCAGACUCAUCCUUUUAGAAAGAGGCACUCAAUAGUGAGAUAGAUUCAAUCUUAAAUAACCAUACAUGGAGUUGGUUGACCUUCCUCUCGAAAAUAAACCUUUAGGUUCUAAAUGGAUCUUCAAAAGAAAAAUGAAAGUGGAUGGUACUAUUGACAAAUACAACGCAAGGCUUGUAGCAAAAGGCUUCAAAAAGAAGGAAGUCCUUGAUUACUUUGAUACAUACUCGCCAUUAACAAGGAUAACCUCGAUUCGAAUGUUAAUUACCUUGGCGGCGGUAUAUGAUCUUAAAAUCCAUCAAAUGGAUGUGAAAACCGCAUUCCUAAAUGGAGAUUUGGAGGAAGAAAUUUACAUGAAACAACCUGAGGAUUUUGUGGUUUCAGGAAAGGAAAACAAGGUGUGUAAACUUAUCAAGUCAUUAUAUGGACUAAAGCAAGCACCAAAUCAAUGGCAUGCAAAGUUUGACCAAACCAUGUUGGCAAACGGAUUCAAAAUAAAUGAAUGUGAUAAAUGUGUUUAUAUUAAAGACACUCCAAAUCACCAAGUCAUUGUAUAUUUAUAUGUGGAUGAUAUGUUGAUCAUCAGUAGAGAUAUUUCUGGCAUAAAUGCAACAAAACGAAUGCUCGAGAGCAAGUUUGAUAUGAAGGACCUUGGAGUUGCAGAUGUGAUCUUAGGUAUAAGAAUCCAUCAAACUCCACGAGGGUUGGCAUUAUCACAGUCUCAUUAUAUCAAAAAGGUACUUGACAAGUUUAAGUAUAUGGAGUUCGGUAUUGCCAAGACUCCAUUGGAUGCGAUAUUUGCACUUCGAAAGAAUGAAGGUGAAAGUGACUCGCAUGCGCUAUCAGUAAAUUGAGUCGGUACACGAGUAAUCCCAACAAAACUCACUGGAUGGCAAUGAAAAGAGUUUUGGGGUAUCUUAAAUACGCUCAAAAUUAUGUUUUGCAUUAUAAUAAAUAUCCUACGGUACUUGAAGAUUAUAGUGAUGCAAAUUGGAUCAUCGGAUCGAACGAAGUAAAAUCCACAAGUGGAUAUGUAUUUACUAUCGGUGGAGGAGCAGUCUCUUGGAAAUCAUCCAAACAGACGUGUAUUGCUUACUCUACAAUGGAAUCUGAAUUUACUGCAUUAGAUAAAGCCGAUGAAGAAGCAGAAUGGCUCUGAAAUUUCUUGGAAGAUAUUUCGUAUUGGCCCAAGCCAGUGGCACCAGUAUGUAUACACUGUGAUAGCCAAGCAGCAAUAGGUAGGGAGGGAGCAUGAUGUAUGACGGUAAAUCUCGUCAUAUAAGACAAAGACAUAAUACCGUUAGAGAACUUCUCUUUAAUGGAAUUAUCGAUGUAGACUAUGUAAAGUCAAAGGAUAAUGUGUCGGAUCCAAUUACAAAAGGCUUAUCUAGAGAAGGAGUAGAAAGGACAUCCAAGGAAAUGGGUUUAAGGCCUAGGACAAGUCAGCAUGGCGGUAACUCUACCUAGCAGACUGGAGAUCACAAGAGCUAGGUUUAAGGAGAUCAAACAAAGUUGUGUCUGACAGGUUCAACAUUGUCAAAUACCCAACCCAUUUUCAUGAUGUAGAUAAUGUAUAGUAAACAAGGAUAAGACUUAAGGUGAAAAGUCUGUUAAUGAUUAUCUAAAUUUGGCAGAUGUUACCAAAUAGUUUAAUCUACAGAAUUGAACGUUUAGAGAUCACCUAUGCGAGGGCGAAGUGGAAGUCGCUUCAAAGAGAAUCUUAGUAAAAGCCUAUUGUCUAAGCUCUCAUGAAAACCGGGACGUGUUCAUGGCUGAAAAGAACAAAACCGUAAGAACCAUAAACGGUAAAAGGUUGGUUGUGUGACAUGUGUUGUUUAGGUGUAUAUUAAAGCUCGACGGUUCAAAGAUAUCAAAUCUACCGAUUGACCGAGUGCAUCCGAUGCAUGUUCACUACAGAAAGUUCAAAGGGAAACCACUUAUCCAGAUGCAAUCAGUCUUUGCUUGAUGAUCACAUACUUGUCCGUAAAACUUAUACGAAAAAUAACCAUUCCCCAUUCAUGUGGGGGAUUGUUGGGUUCUAUAUGUGUGUUGAAUGGAAAAUGGAGAAAUCAAGUGGAAGAGAAAAAUUGAGUUUACACCAAAAUGGAAAGUGUACUCAAAAUUGGCAAGUUUACUCUUUCUCCCACAUUGGUGGAAGAAUAGAACUUGAGAAUGUUUAUAAUGAGAAACACUUACUCUACAUGGCAAGUGAGGCAAGAAAUAAAUUAUGCCUCGCACCGUCGUCGUCUUCGCUCGCUCAGCUCGACUUCAAAUUUAGAUUUGGAUUUGGAUUUGGCAAAUGAUCGAUCGAUGGGAUCUAUCUUUAUUUGGACAAACUUUAUUUGAAUUCCGAAGAAUGCCAAGGAAAACCGUCGUAAAUUUUUACUGUAGAUUUUUGGAACACCAUUUAUAUAUAUGCAACGUGCAGUAACAGUGGAACAGUAACAGAUGCAAUGGUUUGAACGAACUGGUGCCUUUUCGAACUGAUGUUGCUGCAUAAGGUUGCACUGCUUCAUGAACUGAUGCACUAUUUUCGAACAGAUGCUACAGAAAUUUGCAAUUGUUCAAUGAAAAUACACACUAAUUCACGAAGUGACCUUCUUGUUCUGAACAGAUGCACUGUUUAGGAUAAACAGACAUGCAUUUUCAGGAAAAGUCACACCUAUAGAUUGAACCAUUGCCACCUUCAAAAGGGCAUGGUAUGGCUAUAAAUAACCUGCUUUUGAACCAUUGCCACCUUCAAAGGGGCAUGGUAUGGCUAUAAAUAACCUGCUUUAUUCCACAGGUUUUAUAUGAAAUUUUCAGAUUACAAAAUCAUUCUUCUUGUCUUCAAAAUACUUUUUGUGAUCAUACAAAUCGUUGACAGUGUUCAUAGAAUCUAACUAUUUGAGGUACCUCUAUAGUUGGAUUAUUGUCCAUUUUAUCUUGGGAGGAAAAAUUCCACAACCUCGGGUACAAGAGGGGAAUUAUUUCCUUAAGGAAAGUCCGUGAAUUCGGACGACUUGGCCUUAAUCAUUUUUGUUUCAUCUUUAUUUUCUGAAAAAUAAAUAUACCUCUUGGAAAGGUCAUUUUGAUCUUGUGUUGAGGGUAUUUAAUACUUCAUUGUGUUCUUGUUUAUACUUGAACUCGAAUUGAAGUUGUUGUUGCAAUAUACAAAUUCUGCAUACCUAAAUAUAUUGUGGAAAUAACAGUUGAUGAUGACGGAGAAGGUGAUGGUGAAAGUGGAGGUGGCGGAGAAAAUGAUGAUGGUAACGACGGAGGUGGUGAUGGUGACGGUAGAAGUGGUGAUCGAUAGCGGCGGCAGCGUGGCCAGUUGCGGCUAUAGCGGCAACUAGGAAAAUAGCGGAUGGGGGAGGUGGAAGGUGAUGAAAGAAAACUAAGUUGCGGUAUGGCUCAUUUAUGUAAACCAUAUUAGUUGAGAGGAUUGGAUCAGUGUCUUUUCCAUGACUGAGCUCUAACAAUGUGUCAACUAGUACAAGUAAAAGUAACUAUAUUAGUAGGUCCUUCCCUGAAAUAACCAUAAUUACGUUGGAUUAAGGAUGUCAAAUUGUCGAUGUAUUUAUAGAAAGUUAGGACUAUAGGACAGAGCAAAGUUUAUUUGAAACCACACAUUAAAAACUUGUACAAGCUCCCCUUGGUGAUACUAUAUAACUAUAAGCGAAGAACGACACAUAUUUUUAUUACGUCCAAAAAAAAGUGACAUAUAAUUAUUUUAGGCAAAAUGCUCUAUUGGACCCCUCUACUAUGUCAGUUUUAUAAGUUGGACACUCCUACUUACAUAUUUAUCAUCUGGACCCCUGAACCUACGAAAAAACUACAUUUUAAGCACUUUUUUGAAAAGUGUAACACACUCUCCCAUGUUAGCUGCCACAUCAGCUGCCACGUGUGUCAGUCAUCUGUCACGCGUGUCACGUCAUCUACCACGUCAUUUUAAAAAUAAAAUAAAAAAAAUAGAAAAAGUAUUACAUUAAAUUUCAAGUCAUUUUUAAAAUGCUACAUAACAAAUUAAAUAUUAAAAUUAAUUUAAUUAAAUAAGAAAAAUUUGAAUAAUCAUGCUUUUAAAAUUUAAAAAUAUUUGAAUAAUCAUUUUUAAAAUAAAAAAAGUAUUACACUAAAAUUAAUUAAAUAUUAAAAUUAAUUUAAUUAAUUAAUUUAAAUUAUUAAAAAAUUAAUUAAUUAAAUUCUUAACAAAAUAAUUUAUUUAAAUUAAUUAAAUUUUAAAUUAAUUAAUUUAUCAAUUUAAAAUUCUUACCUAAUUUAAAUAAAUUUUACUUAAAUAAUUAAUUAAUUUAAAUAUGAUUUACAUAUUUAAAAUAUUUAAUUUAAAUUAACUGUAGGAGGGAGGGGCUGGGUGGGUCCGGGGGAGGGGCUGGGGGAAUUUAAUAAAUUUUAAUAUUAUUUUUAUUUUUUAAAAAUUAUUUUAAUGUAAAAUUGGCCAAAAAUUAACCCCCACUCGCACCCCUAGGCGAGUGGUUACACUCUGUCACAUCUCUUUUCAGACCGAAGGGAUCGAGUCGAAUGGAUUUUUCCAAAUGAAAUGACGGUUUUGAAUAGGGAUUAGUUUAUUUACAGAGUCGCCACUUGGAAUUGAGUUAUGUUGUUCCAAGUCACCUUUUUGAAUCCCUAAUCAAAAGGAAAUGACUUUUAUUUGGUCUGCGAAAACAGAAGCCUGGAUAAGGAAUUCUGUUGACCAAGAGGAAGGUGUGAGGUACCCCUCGAGUCCCGUGGUUCUAGAACGGUCGCUUUUAUUGACUUAUCUUGACUUAAAUUAUUUUAAUAAAUUAUGUUAAGGCCUAAAAUCACUCAUUUUUAAUUAUAUCGAAAAUGACUGUCUACACCUCUUAUGUUAAAUAAAUUGGUGAAAAAUAAUUUUAAAAAAAUAUUUAUCAAGAUGCAUUUUUUCAUCCUUGAAUUUUUAAAAUAUCUCAAAAAGAUGUGUGCGCCGCAUUCUUAAUCGAGAUAAAAUUUAAAAUAUAUUAAAACGAGACUAAAAAUUGUCUAAUAUUAAAAACACUGGUUGACUCAUUAUAAAUUCGUAAUAAUAACAAUUUUUUUAUUAUUUUAUUUCACCUAAUUUCUUAUAUUUAAUUAGUAUAACAAAAAUACAAUAAAAGAUUCUAUAUAACAAGAUUUAAAUCAUGAACGAAAAGACAAAUAUAUGUUACAUGAGAUAAUUCAAGUAAAAAUGUAUAUACGGGUUCUUAACUAAAAUUAAACAUUACCUUUUUUGAUCUUAAAUAAAUACAUUUUUUGAUUUUUUUAUUAGAAAAAAAUAAAAUAAAAAAAUAAAAGGACCAAAGAGACAAUUUUUAAAACAAUGACUAAAGAAAAUCUCUCUCGUCAAAUCUGUGUAAAAAAUAAAUUAAAAAUCUGUUUGUUAAAAAUAGUAAAACUGAAGUGAUAAAAAAAAAUUGACGUCACUUUAAUGGCAUUGUAAGCAACAAUGGAAACAUAAUAAAAUUAGUCAGAUCUUAAAUGUUUCUGGCGAGCAAUGGUAGUUGGUCAGCUUAAUGCGCUAAAGUUCAUCAGCGCAAAAGAGAAAGGAGUGGCGCGGGGAAGGAGAGAUGGGAUGUCGGAGCAGCGCGGGGAAGGGGCGAGGGGGACGACAGAACAGGGCGAAAAAGGGAUGAAUGUGGUCAGCCAUGGUGACUGCUGGUUUAUGCGUUUUUCGGCGGGUUUUCACCGGAUCUUAUUUUGGAUUUUGUUGAUUACCAAUGGGUUUCGCCGGAAACGAGAAUGGGAAUAUUGGUCAGUUGUUUUCUUGCUUUCCGAUGGGAUAUAGGAAGAUCACUGGUGUAACAGUGAUUCCGGCGAGAUUUCGCCGGAGAAAUGGGUUGUCAAACUGAUUUUCCUGGGUUCUCACUUUUUUUUUUUUUGUGAUAUUAACACAUAAUAAUUAAACAUUCAAAACAUAUGUACAAAUACAUAUAUGCAUUUUAUAGUUUGAUCAAUAAUAUGCCAUGACAGAAAGUGCUAAAUAAUACUCAAGGUUACUAGGAUAUUUUUAUUCAUGCUUUUACACAAUGAAGUUUACAAAAUAAAUAAUACAGGAUUGAAUAGAAUCUAUAGUGAAUGAACAAAGAUACUGAUUACUAGAAAACUCCAACUUCAAACUCUAAAAAUGUUCUCCCUUUUCUUUUAUUUUCUUCCCUACUUCACUUGUUUUCUCCCCUUUUUUACUGAUUUUGAUAUUUUAUUUGGUAUGGUUUCUGAUGUAGUAACUGUGUAAAAAAUAUUUGACGGUGAAUGUAUGUCCGUAGAUUUCUGGGGAGGAUCUUUAAGUACAGAAAUUUGGGGAGUAGUUACCUUUUGAAAAAAUAACUAAUGGUUAGAUAAAAGGAGAACUCAAAAUUUAAAUUAAUUAUUAUUUUUAAUUUCUAGAAGAUAAUAAUAAUAAUAAUAAUAAUAAUAAUAAUAAUAAUAAAUAAAGAUAAUGAUAAUAAUAAAUAUAAUAAUAAUUAAUUAAUUUUUAUAUUUAAUAAAAACAUAAUAAAAAUGUAUAAAUAGACAAAAUAAAUAUAAGAAAAUAAUAUUUAAAACUACUAACUUAUUUAUUUAAAAACAAACAUAUUUAUUUAUUUUUUUUAUUUUUAAAUUUUUGUGUUAUUUUUUAAAAAUUGGAAUAACAUAAAUAAUAUCCUAAAAUUAACUUCAUUUAUUUAUUUAUAUAUUUUUUUAAACUAAAAAUUUAUUAAAAAUAAGAAUUAAAAUAAUAUCGAAUCAAAUAUAAAUAUUUUAAUAUCGAAAACUAUAUAUAUUACAUCCGGGAAGGGUCAAAAUUCACGUGUCUACACACUCUUUAUCCUAGUCACCAUGACCUUGCCACAUAAGCAAGGUCAACGAACAAAGGUCAAAGGGUGCGAAAUGUUGAUUUUUGAUAGGCUCAAGAGUUCAGAUGACAAACAUGUAAGUAGAAGUGUCCAACUUACAAAACUGACAUAGUACAGGGGUCCAAUAGAGUAUUUUUUCAUUAUUUUAUGAAGAAACCUUCCAAUUUGUUACGGUUUCAUAAUUAUAUUCCAUCAUAAUUUUCUUUAUGAUAAUCGUUUUUGUGAUGAAUUUUCCUUCAUAAAUAUGGUUUUUACUUUUUUUUUUCUUUACUUUUUUUAAAGAAAAACAGAUUUUAUUAUAAGCAAAUAUGUACAAAGCAUAGGAGGCAUCCCUCCAUGUACCUACUUAGUAUGAGACACUCUCCAUACUAUGGAACAAGUAGGAUUUCUAAUAAACUCUCAAAAAAACAUCUAAAGAUGCUCGCCUCAACAUUGAGAGGGAUCAUCAAGGUACAUCAAAAGUGUAGUUCCUAUACAAGUUUCUAUCCAUAUAAAAUGAGUUCUUACAAUAUUUUUUUUCGAAAAGAGGGAUAAUUCAUUAUAUCCAUGUUUAAGGCUCCUCUAACAUUCCGGGGUAAUUGUCGAAAGUCGUAGAUCCAUUGAAUAUCAGUGAAUUGUAUUCCCCAGUUGGCUAGACCAUCAGCUACCUUGUCACCUUCCCUGAAACAAUGGGAAAUAUGCCACAUUUUCACUUGAUCUAGUAAAUUUUUUAUCCUUGUUAGAGAGCUCCAUAUGUUCCAGGGUGGCUUACUUGAAUUGUUAAUCCACUCUACUAACAAUUUCGAGUCCAAUUCCACUUCUAAUUGUCUAACUCCUUUUGUUACACACCAUUCUAGACCAAUCUCUAGAGCUAAAGCUUUGCACUGGGUUCUUUCCAAAAGUUAGCCACCAAGAUAUAAUUUGAUGUUCGAAGCUAUUUUGCCCCUCAUUGAUUCCAAACAACCUGCAAUAACAUCUUCAAAUAUCUUGAGCAAUCUUUCCUUUGUGGAAUAGAUGCUCAACAUCUUCCUGCUCAAAGUUAGUACAACAAAAACAUCUAGAUGAAAGAUGAACUUUAAACUUAAUUAAAUUUAAAUCAACUGCAACCUUAUUCCUUAAUACUUUCCAGAGAAAAAAGGAAAUUUUAAAAGAAUUUUUUUUGUGCCAAAUCAUUUUGUUAAAGAAGUUUGAGUCUUUCUAGCUCCUGAUAGUUUUCCAAGAUGAUUUACUAUCAAAUCUUCCAUCUGUAUUAAUAGUCCAGAUUGGAAAAUCUUCAAGAUUAGAAGAGUUAAUAGUAAUCUCCUGAAUGAUGUUAACAAUAUUUAUAGGAAGAUUCUGACGAAUUUUGAUGAAAUUCCAAGUACCGUUUUGUAUGUAAUCCGACACUUUGAUUCUAAUCGAUGUAGAAGCUUCAGCAUAAUCAACUAAUUCGCCUAUUUCAGUCCAGUUGUCCCACUAAAAGCUUGAGUUGUCUUUGUUGAUUCUCCACUGAAUAAGGUGAUCAACUUUUUCUUUAAUCUUCAUCAUUCUUCUCCAAUUGUAAGAAUGUUUAUAACUCUAUUUCCUAGACACUGGGUGGAUUCUUUUGGAAUACUUGGCUUUCAUGAAUCUAGUCCACAUGGAGUCUUUAGGUUCUAAAUUGCCACCAUAACUUGACAGCAAAACUUUCUGAAAUAUCGUGGAUGGACCUGAUACCAAUACCCCCUCCUCCAUAGGAAAGCACAUACUGUUCCAGGAAGCCCAAUGAUACUUUUGUUUUCCUUCUUUACUUCCCCAGAAAAAACUAGCAAAAAUACUAUCCAUCUGUUUAAGGAUUGUCUCUGUAGGCUGACAAACAGACAAGAGGUGAACAAACAUCGCAUUUAAAACAUGCUUAAUAAAAAUUAUUUUACCUCCAGCUGAUAGUUUAUUACAAUGCCAUGCUCCCACUCUUUUUAUUAUCGUGGAAGCCAUGUCAGCAAAGUAUUGAUUCAAUUUUUUUCCUGCAAACAAUGGGCAUCCCAAAUAAUAAAUGGAGAAUUCUUCCUUUUUCACUUAAAGCAAGUUUUCGACGAUGUUGAUCCUGUUUUGAGAAAUGCCCUUGUCCAUAAUGAAGCAACUUUUCUCUCUGUUUAUCAAUUGUCCUGAAUUCAUAUGACCUGAGGCAAUCAGUGAUGAGUCUCAAGGUUUUAGAUUUACCUGAACAAAAGAUAAUCAAGUUGUCAGCAUAAGCUAAAUAAUUAAUCCUUGGUUCGUUGGGAUCCAUACUGAAUCCGUUAAAUCUAGAAUUAUCAUAUAAUUUAUUAAGCAUAAUGGAUAGUACUUCGGCAGUUAUUAUAAAUAGAGAAGGAGAUAUCGGAUCACCCUGUUUAACACCUCUAUGAGAUUUAAAAAAUCCAUGUCUUUUGCUAUUUAUAAUGACUGAAUACCAAUUAUUGGAGAUAAGAUUCCAAAUCAUAUAAAUCCAUCUUUCAUCAAAACCCAUUCUUCUCAUAACAGAACAAAUAAAGCGCCAAGAAAUUCUAUCAUAAGCUUUAUUCAUAGCAAUUUUGAAAAUCACAUUUCCCCCUUUGUUUACUGUUUUAAUCUCAUGGAUAAUUUUUUGGGCAAGUAAAACAUUUUCUCCAAUUUCUCUACCUUUAAUAAAAUCACUUUGAUUAAGAGAAAUGAUAUUUGGAAGGAUCAAAGUCAACCUAUUAUUUACAACUUUUGAAAUUAUUUUUUGAAUGACAUUGCUAAGACUAAUAGGUCUAAAGUCUGAAAAAGUUUGGGGGAUCUCCACUUUAGGAAGCAAUACCAGACAAGUACUAGUAAAAAAGUUCACCAUUAAAAAUAUUUUUAACUAAUAAAACAAUAUCUAAACCAGUGAUAUCCCAAGUCUUUUGAAAGAAGAGACUAGUGAAACCAUUAGGGCUUGCUGAGCUAUUGGGAUUGAUCUCAAAGACAACACUUUUAUUUUCUUUCCUCAGUAGGAUCUUGAAGUAAAGAUUAAUUGUCUUCCUCACUGAUGCAUUUGAUGAUGUUGUCCAGAAUAGUCAUAUCAAUGUUGUGGUCAUCUUGAGAGAAUAACUGCUGAAAAAUCAGCUGCUGCUAUACCAAUAUCAUUUUCACCUUCUAAGCAAUUCUCCCCCACUUUUAUUUUAUAAAUUUGUAGAAAUUUUCUUCUACCUUUCACAAUAGUUUGAAAAUAUUUUUUAUUCUUAUCCCCUUCCAAAUUUCAUUUCAAGUUUGCUUUUUGCCUCCAGAAAGUAUCCACAUACUUGUGGUGAAUAAUCAACUCUGCUUUGGAUUUGUUCAUGUUUAUCCUAUCUUGUUGAUCCAACGAAGAUAUAUACUUUUCUUCAUAAUAUUUGACUCGAUCUUUCAUAAAUUGAGACUUCUCAAAGAUGUUGCCGACUUCGAUUUUAAACCAGUGAGUGAGAGCUUUGCUAGUUCUCUUUAAUUUCUGCUGAACUUGCCAAAAUAUGUUGUCAUUAUCAUGAGAUGUCCAACAACUCUUGACCACUUCAUGAAAUUCAUCUAAAUCAGUCUAAAAUAAAAAAUCAAAAGUAUUUAAUGUGGGUAUCUUGAAUGCUUCCAAGAAUAAUAACGAGAGGGGCAAUGAUCUAAACUGACUCUAAUCAUAUGUUGAACAUUGCAAAAGGAAAAAUAGUCAUCCCAUUUUUCAUUACACACCAUCCUAUCCAACCUUUUCCAUAUUAUCUCUUGUCCUUUUCUCUCAUUGCACCAAGUAAAAGUGUUUUCAAUAUCUCUCAAACCACAAUCAUGGAGACACUCUAUAAAUGGAAUGCUUUUUCUUAGCCUGUAUAGUUUGCCCCCCAUCUUUUCUUCCUUAAAUAAAAUGCUGUUGAAGUCUCUGAUGACUACCCAAGGAGCAUUAAUGGUAGUAGAAGACACACUCAUAUAUCUCCACAAAUCUUUCCUUCCCAAAGCCUGGAUUUUGCAUAAACAAUAGAAAUGAAGAAAUAUUUCUAUUUAUCUUGAAUUUUGCAAGUCACCAUUUGGUCUUCACUAGAGUAGAUAAAACACUCAAUAUUGUGUUUCCAAAAAAUUCAGAUCUUAUUACUACAAAUAGCGUAACACCCUUUCAUAUCAAGAGACUGCAUAUAUAGUUCAAUUUUUGUUUCUUUGACGAAAGGUUCCUACAUCGCUACCAGAGAUAUAUCUUGGCUAAACUAACAAAAACUUUAAUCUCUCAGUAGAGGCUUGGGACUUCAUACCCCUAAUGUUUCAAUUAAGCAUUCUGAUCAUUAUUCAACUUUGCUAAUUGAUAUGUUGCUUUCUAACAAUGGUGUUAAAUGUUAAUAAGGGGAAAUGAGGUCACGUUACAUUGUCAUGCAAUAUUUUUCACUGUUUCGCUAUCUCUCAAGUAGAGUUUAAAACUAGGGAUAAUUACAUAAUUUAGUCAAUAUUGAAUUCUAAUUACCUAAUUUAGCCUACUUUCAAUUAAUUACAAUUCAUAGUCUCCUCUUGCCUAUUAAUUUUUCAUAAUUACAAUUCAUACUCUCUCUCAUUUAUUUUUUCUUUUUCUCUAUUUUCUAUUACUUCCCUCUUUUUUCCUUUUUCCUUUUUUUCUUUUCUUUGUUUUUUUUUCGUUUUCUCUUUCUUUUCUUUUUUCAAUUUUUUCUUUUUCGUUUUCUUUUUUACCUUUUUAUUUUUUGCCCUUUUUUUUGUUUUUUUGUUUAUUUUCUAUUAAUCUUUUUUUUUUCCUUUUUCUUCAUUUUUUCUAUUCCUUUUUUUGUUCUCUUUCUUCUUUCUUUUUAAAAAUUUUUCUUUUUCGCUGUCUUUUUUUUCAUUUUGUCUUUUUUUUUUCUUCUUUUCUAUUUUAUUUUUUCCUCUAUUUUCUAUUACUCUUUUUCUUUUUUUUUUUCUCCUUUUUUUCUUUUUUUGUUCCUUUCAUUUUUCUCCUUCUUUUCAUUUGUACGAACUAGCAAACACAAAUACAAGUGUGAACUAUGAUACAAUUUCUUAUUUUUCAUUUUCUUUUUUUCCUUUUGUAUUUUUUUUCCUUUUCAUUUUUCUCUUUAUUUUUGGCUUUUUUGUCUAUUUUCUACUACUCUUUUUUUUUUUUCUUUUUUCUUCAUUUUUUCUUUUCCUUUUUUUGUUUUCUCUUUUUUCUUACUUUUUUCAAAAUUUUUUCGUUAUCUUUUUAUCAUUUUGUCUUUUUUUUUCUUUUUCUUCUUUUUCUUUUUAUUUUUUUCUCUAUUUUCUAUUACUAUCCUUUUUAUUUGUAUUUUUUUCCUUUUUCUCAUAUUUUUUCUCCUUUUUUGCCUUUUUAUUUUUUCUCUUUCUUUUCAUUUGUGUGAACUAACAAAUACAAAUAUAAGUGUGAACUAUGUUUUAAUUUUUUUUUCUUUUUUCUUUUUUUUCUUUUUCUUUUUUACCUUGUUAUUUUUUCACCUUUUUUUUAUUUUUUUUGUCUAUUUUCUAUUACUCUUUUUUUUUCUUUUCUUUUUUCUUCAUUUUUUUGUUUUCUUUUUUUUAUUUUGUAUUUUUUUUCUUUUUAUUUUGUACCUUUUUAUUUUUUCUCCUUUUUCUUUUUUGUCUAUUUUCUAUUACUCUUUUUUUUUCUUUUUUCUUUAUUUUUUCUUUUCCUUUUUUGUUUUCUCUUUCUUCUUUCUUCUUUCUUCUUUCUUUUUUCAUGUUUUUCAUUUUCGUUGUCCCUUUUUCAUUUUGUUUUUUUUUUUCUUUUUGUUCUUUUCCUUUUUAUUUUUUUCCUUCUUUUUUUUAUUUCUUCUCUAUUUUCUAUUUCUCUCCUUUUUUUUUUUGUAUUUUUUCUCCUUUUUCUCACAUUUUUUCUUAUUCUUUUCAUCUGUGCGAACUAGCAAACAAAAAUACAAGUUUGAAUUAUAAAAUAUAAAUACAAAAGCGAAUUAUAACUUACAAAUAUAAGUGGAAACUAUAAAAUACAAAUACAAAUUAUAACAUAUAGAUACAAGUGCGAACUAUUAUUUGUAUUUUUUAAUUAUUGAAAAGGAACGAUUGAUUUUCAUUUUACGAAUACUUGUUUGUAUUUAUUUAUACGAGUUGCAUUUAUUGAUACAAAUAAAUACAAUUCAAUUUCUUAUAAAAAUACAAUAUAUACAAAUACAAUAUGUAUUUGUAUUGUUAAAAUCAUUGGUUUCAUUUGUUUGUAAUUGUAUUUGUAUCAAGUGAUAUUUAUUUAUUUACAAAUAAGAAUAAUAAUUUUGACAUACAAAUAUAAAAUGGUACAUUGGUAUCAAAUGAUACAUUGCAUAUUUAUAUAUUUUAAAAUCAAGAAAAUACAAUUAAUGCAUUUACUUGUUUGUAUACAAAUAUAAAUGAUAAAUUGUACAUAAUCACGGUUAAAUACAAUAUGCAAUCAACUUACAAAUACAAAAUAAUUCUUUAAAAAUAAAAAGACAUCGACGAAAAUAGAAUACAAAUACAAAUAUGAUCUAAAUAUACCAACACAAUAAAAUCAUAAUACAAAUAUAAUCCAAUAUAAUACACAGUCAAUUAUAAAAUACAAAUACAAAGUAUUUUUUAAAAUACAAGUACGAAUUAUAUAAAAUAUAAAUGAUGGGGUGAACUAACAAAUACAAAUACAAGUGUGAACUAUAAAAUUCAAAUAUAGACGCGAACUACAAAAUACAAAUACAAGCGCAAACUUUAAAAUAAAAAUACAAAUAUAGUUGUAAAAAUAUAAAUGACGACGUGACUACAAAUAGAUAAACAAUUAUGGUGUUUACGUUAUCAUCAAUGACUUGUGCUUGAAUAGUUAUAUUUUUUAAAAAUACAAAAAAUAUAAAAUAGAACAAAAAAAAUGAUAAAGAAAAUAAGUACAUAAAAGAAAAGAAAAGGAAAAAAAAAAGAAAGAGAGUUAGAAGAGAGAAAAAUAUAUAUAAAAAAUGAAAAAAAUAAAAAUAUGAAAAAUUUAAAAAAAGAAGAAGAAAAAUCGAGGAAAACACGAAAAAGAAAAAAUAAAAAAGAAAAAAAUGGUAGUGUUUUUGGCAAGACUAAAUAUGUAGUAUAUUUAUGUUUUUAUGAAUACAGACCACUGAGUAAAAGUGAAUACAACGGCUGUGAAUCGAAUACAACAACUAAAUGAUACUGUAUUUAUAUUUUAUAUGAAUACAGACUAUUGAUAAAAUCGAAUACAGCGGGCGUAAAUUGAAUACAACGACUAUAAAUGGUAAUUAUGUAAAAUGACUAUUAAAGGUGAGUUUUCUAGCAAAAUAUGGCUACUUUUGAAAGAUCUCCUUAAAACUAUCUGGUACACAUAAUUACAAUUCUAGAUCAACUUUACUUUACUACAGAGAAAUCUCUAAUUUAAUCUACUUUCUUGUUCGCAUUUUGCACUCAUAAUAUCAGUAAUAUCCUUUUCGAAAAAGGGUCAAAAAUACCCUUAGACUAUUGAAAAUGGAUUAAAAAUAUCCUUCGUUUCUUUUUUGGCUCAUAAAAGUCCCUCUGUUUGUUUUCUGACUCAAAAAUACCCCUCUGUUAUUUUUUUGGCUAAAAAAUACCCUUCUCUCUAACGGAAUGUCAUCAAACACGUCACUUGGAUUAAAAAAAAAUUAUUUAAUCAGUCCAUAUCAGCGUACACAUGAAAAAUCACUCCAUUUUGUCCAUUUAACCAUCAACUCAUUUUAUUCUAUUUAAAAAUCUAACCCGAUCCAAGAGACAAAAUUCAAUUCUUCAAUUUUUUUUUUCUUAGAUCAUCCAUUUCACCUUCUUCCAUUCUAUUAUCAAUAUUUUUAAAGUUACGAGACUCAUUCAAGCAAUUCUUGACCUCAUCAACUUGCAGUUGUCGUAUAUUGCCUCAAAACUUACUCUCUCCAAAUUUCAAUUUCAUCUCCGAAUUACCAUUCCUCUCACUGCAAUCAGGUUCCUGAUUGGACAAAUUCAGAUAGGAAUUCCAGUAGCAAUCUGAGCUCUUGAAAAUUGGGUUGACUAUUGAGGCACCAAUUGUCUAGGGUCGACCCGAUUCUUUUGAGUAACAAUUUGAGGGCCUGAUUAUUUCCUCAUCUUUUACCUUGAUGGAUCCACAAUAUCUGAACCUAUCACAUGAAAAAUAAGCAAUCAAUUUCUCAAAUUUUUCCUCUUGAGUAGGGUUUUUUUAAAUACAGGCGGGGUUGGAUAUUUUAAAUAGACAAAAUUGAGUUGAUGGUUAGAUGGAUUAAAUUGAGUAAUUUCCCACAUCUAUGCUGACGUGGACUGGCCAAGUGACCUUUUUAAUCCACGUGGCAUGUCUGGUGGUAUUCCGUUAGAGAGAAGGGUAUUUUUAAGCCAAAAAGUUAAUGGAGGGGUAUUUUUGAGACAAAAAAAUUAGUGGAGGGGUAUUUUUGAGCCAAAAAACAAAUGGAGGAUAUUUUUAAUCCAUUUCGAAUAGUUUAAAGGUAUUUUUGACCCUUUUUCGUACUUUUUUAAAAAUGUACACCAUAUUUUCUUAAUUGGUACUCUUUGGUUCGUUAAUUUUACGCAUUUUCUUGGAAAAUCUUCAUGAAAGUUGUUAUGAAGAGCAAGAAAAAUGUAAUUAAAUCGGAGCCUUUACGCUAUUUAUCUUCGUUUCAACUUUUAUCUUAAGAAACCUGUUUAUUACUGAUUAAUUUAGUAUUCUAUGUUACACUUUGAUCUUCCAUUAAUUAAUAAACUUUGUUGCUUUGUUACCAUUUAAUUUUUCUAUUGAUGUUUCAAGAUUUCAAGUGAAAUUUGAUCAAACUGACAUUGGACAUGACCAUGCAGAAGCCAUGUCGAGAGGAUUUAUCAGUUGGCAGAAAAUUAAAAUGAUCCAACAUUAGACAUGGAAUAGUUGUUCGUUUCUGCAUUUGUUUUUUCUUAAAACAGAUAUUCUAAUUAAUGUCUCAUUAAUUUUAAUUCACUCCACUUUUGCUGAUUAGAAAAUUACAAUGGAGUCAUCUCGUUACAAUUGAUUAGAAAAUUACAUCCUAAAUGUAUGUAGGAGAUGUUUUUUUUUAAAUUACAUGUUUGACUUGACAUACACAAGUAAUAAUAAAUAAAAUAAUAAUUAACUAUAUCACGAUUAAUUAUUAUAAAUUAUCUCUUGAUUUUUUAAAUUGAACAAGUUGUAAGUGUAGUCAAUUUUUUUUUUAUUAGUACAGCUAAAGUAAAAAAAGAAUGAAUAUGAGGUAUCUCGAUUAAUAAUGUAACAGGAAAAAAAGAUGAGAAUUUCCCUUCUUAUAAUUUACUUUUGACCUUGGAGAAUUAUAUGCACGAUUUUACCACGUAAUAUAAACUAUGUAUUGACUCGUAGGAGCACCGGAUGGUUGUACGUUAAAAUGCAGGGGUCAUCACCUCUAAGAGAUCGAAUCCUUGGAAUGUAAUGAAUGGGCGAAUUAAAUUGAAUUUGGACGGGUUAAAAUAUGUUGAGUUAAUACAUGACGAAUUAUUGACUCUUCCAAAGUUUUUUUUGUUUUUGGUUUCCCAAGGUAUCCCCACAACCGGCAGUCGUGAGACUAAUCCUCCGUUCCUCUGUCAGCACACUAAGCGGUAGGAAACUGGCCACAGAGUUUGCUCCAUUCGCCAGAGGAGGGGAUCAAAUUCCCGACCUCUUGCUUAAGGGACAUGACGCUGAACCACCAUGCCAACUCUAGUGGUCGACUCUUCCAAAGUUACUUAGGGUGAAAUAGGCUAAAAGCGGGUCAAAAUUCAACUGCCAAAUUCUUAUUAAAUAUUAAUUGCCUUAUUUAUUUUUUUAUGAGUACCUAAUAAAUUAUUACCAUUAUUGUUUAUUAUGGUUAUAUAUAAAUAUUUUUUUGAAAGUCAAUUUGGACUAGAUAUCAUUUAAAUUUAGACGGUCUGAACUAACAAAUAAUCAAGUCAAUAAUCAAUCCAAACUUAAACGAAUGAAAAAAUUAUAAUUUUAUUUGCUAAUUUUACCAUCUGUGUAUUAUCAAUUGUUCCAAAUUGACUUAACGAUACUUUAUCUUCUCCCAGCAAGGAGGAUACUGUAAAUGUUGGAGAUUUUUUUAUUUAUUUUUUGAUAAAUUUCUCAGUCAUCUGGGGGUGUUGUAUAUCAUACCAAAGGUUUAAUUACAACACACGAUAGAGACUAUCCGUCAAAAUAAAAAAGAAGAGCUUUCAACAAAACAACUUAUUGCUCAUUCUCCUACUGUGCAUAAAGUAAUUAGCCUAACCAACAAAAAAUUUGCCUUGUCAUCUUCAGUUCUAAUGGAUGGAACUUGUCUCUUGUCCAAGCAUAAGAGGCCUUUAGCACCAUUUUGAAGCUCCUGUUCUGGUAAAUAGAUGUUGUUAAUUUGAGAGUUCAAUGCCAUUUUGGCUAGCCAGUCUACAAGUUGAUUAGCUUCCCUAUACCAAUGCUUAUAUUUUGCCGUUGUGUGCUUGAACUAUCCAGAGGUGUUGUCAAUAAUAUAAUCUUGUUAAGUCUAAAGCUUCCUGCCUUCUUUUCUUUGAGUAUUUCGGUAACGACCAUGGAGUCUAAUUUUAUAAGAAGGUUGGUGUAUCCAUUGUUUCUACACCAAUUAACUGAUAUGGGAAUUGAGAAGGCCAUGAUCAAUUGUCCUCCCUCAUCUCUGAGCGCUCCCCCCAAACCUGCUUUGAUAGUGUCCUUGUCGAAGCUUCCAUCAGUAUUCAAUUUGAUGAAGCCCGGUAUAUGAUUGGUUAUGAUCCUUCCUAGUCAAUUUUGGAGAUGAUGCCACGUAUAUGAUUGAUUGGUUAUGAUCCUUCAAAGUUAUUCCAUGUACCAGGAGCCAUUGUUGAUAAAAUAUUUGACUAGGAGUUUUCAACUCUUCGCAGAAUCAGUAGCUCGAUGGGCUAGAAGACUUAUAUGUUGGGUUGAAUAUGUAUGGAAAGGUGUGAAUGAAAAUGGUGAGAAAAAUAGUGGAAGGAAGGAGACACCAAUUUAGAAGGUGUACUCCCAAAUUGGAAAGUUUAUUAAUUCUCCCACCAAUACUCCCAAAUUGAAAAGUUUAUUAAUUCUUCCACAUUGGUGGGAGAAGGGAACUUUGGAGUGUUUAUAAUAAUGAACACUUACUCCACAUGAUUAGUGAGGCAAGAAAUAGGAGAUGUCUUGCGCCGUUGUUGUUGCUCGCUAGCUUAGCUUUGGCUUCGGCAAUUGAUUGAUGAGAUAUAUAUGUUUGGACAAAAUUUAUUUGAAUUCCUGAAAUACCUAAGUGAAAAAUGAAAACGCAAUAAAUAUUUUCUGUGUUUUAUCCUCCAUUUAUAUGUAUGUAUACAGUGAACUGUUGCAAUGUUUCAACCUGAACUGAUGCACUGUUUCGAACUGAACUGAUGCAAUGUUAUGAAUGGUAUGUCUGUUUUGAAAAGACAUAGUUUUGGAUGAAAAGACAUCAAUUUUCAGAAAAGGCAAACCUCUAAAGUGAACCAUGACCUCUUUUCAGAAGAGGCAUAUUGUGGCUAUAUAAACCUGUUUUCAUUCAAAGGUUUAGGUACGAAAUUUUUUGGAAUAAAAACUCUUCUUCUCUUAAAAAUAUUCUGUAUGAUGAUUCAAACCGUUGAGUGCGUUCGUGAAAUCCAACUAUUUGAGAUACAACUAUAAUUGGAUUGAAGGUCAUUUUAUCUUGGGAGGAAAAUUCCAUAACCUCGGGUACAAUGAGGGGAAUUAUUCUUUAAGGACUCUCCGUGAACUCGGAGGACUUGAUCUAAAAUUCUGUUUCAUCUUAAUUUCUGAAAAUAAAAUACACUUCUUAGAAAGAUCACUUUGAUCUUGUGUUGAGGGUAUUUUCUGUACUUCAUUGUGUUCUUGUUUUUUAAACAUUGAACUAAAAUUGAAGUUGUUGUUUCUAGUAUACAGAUUCUUAUACCCGUAGAAGGAAGAAUAACAUUAUACAAGUCCAAUUGUUGGAGAUAUAUGAACAUAUUGAUUUUCAAGGCGAAAUAAAUUCUUCUUUAUCAUCAUCAACACUUCAUCUAUGUCCUUGUUUGUGAAUAUCACUGUACGUACAUGAAAAAUUUUGGAAAUUCAAAACCUAAAGUAAUUCGUGCAUUCAAAGCCCAAUAAUCAAGUCAGCUUUUCAAUUUAUCAUAUAGACUAUACUUUUGACUUUGUGACAUUCGAUUUUUCUGUAUUGGUACAAACUUUUGUCUCCUUCAAUGAUACAUAGAAAACAAAAGAAAAAAGUAUUUUCCAUAACUCAGUGCUCUUAUAUUCUUUAUUUUUCCUACAUUUCUCUCCGAACCUCAUAACAUAAAAUGAGACGAAGUACCUUAUUUUUACUUGUUCUAGUAAGUCAUGCAUGGCAAUUUGCUUGAUGCUUCAAAAAUAAAAGGUCCAACAUCAUAGAAAUCAAAUAUGGGUGGUUGUUCCGGCAGACGCAUGGCAGGGGUAACAAUUGGUGGCUUAGGUGGUACAACUUGUUUCAAUAGAGCACCUGUUUUACCGCCAUUGAAAUCUGUUGGUACAUUACAAGUGGGAUUUGGUGAUUUCAGUAAGUAUACCCUGCACUUGCUGAUAUCUGCUCCACUUAAAGAUUUGAGCGUGAUCAGAAACACACCAUUGUUGUUUGUCGUGGCUGAUUCAAUAAUUCCCUUCUUUCCAUUGUAGCAAACUAGCUUCACAGAAGCUCCUGCAAGAAUAAUAUUAAUUAGAACAACCAUUAAUUGAAUUGUGUAAGCAAAAUUCCAACAGAAAAAUCACCUACAUCUUUGUAACCGUGACAAUGGUUUUAUUGAAACUUACUUGAAAUAACUCCCUUCGAUAUUCUAUAUGCACCCUUACGUGAACCAAUACAUACAUUCCUAUGCGAACUAUCUCCAAAGAUAGUGUUUUAGUUUGUUUUGAGUUUAUGUGACAUGCAUUACAUGUGAUUAAUACGUAACCACAUAGAAAUAGAAAUUAAGUACCUCCUCUUACAUGUAUACAUUAGUUUAUUUAGUGUAUACCGGUGAGGCUAAAUUUUUACCGAAGACGGAGCAUAUGAUAUAUAUAUAUAUAUAUAUAUAUAUUUAAAGUUAGUAAAUAUUUAAAAAUAUACUAAAUGGUGAACCUAAAAUAUUAGUUGACCCACUUAUUAAAAAUAUUUAUUUUAAUUUAAUUGUCCAGUUCAUUAAAAAAAUUAUCUUACUUUUCUAAUAUUAUCUCUUUGAUUAAACAUUGUAUAAAGUUUAUGAUACUCAAAUUUAUAUUUUUAAAGCAUAAUUAAUGAAGCUAGUAUAGUUAAAUAGACCUUGGAGUAGGGAGGCGUUGAGGAGAAUAGGAGCCCCAUAGCUGUUGCAAGAUUUACAGUACACAAGGCCCUUAACGGUUCUAGUCUCGGCGGUGGGAAGUAAUGGAGGUAGAAUUAUCGGUUUAAUUGGUCGCCGUCGAAUAAAGGGUUGUUUCUCUACUGGUGAUGGAGAUGGUGCCAUAACUGAUGGAUUAGCAAUUGAUGGUGGAGAAGCUGGCGGAGGCGGCGGUGGUUUUUUUGCAUGUGGUGAUGGAGAUGGUGCCGUAACUGGUGGUGGAGUUGGUAGUUUUGCUGGUGAUGGAGAUGGUUGUUUUGCUGGUGAUGGAGUUGGCUGUUUCGCUGGUGAUGGAGAUGGUGCCCGAGGAAGAGGUGGUUGAUUUGCUGGUGCUGGAGACGGUGCCUUAACCUGUGGUGGUGGAGGUGGUUUCAGUGAUGGCUUACACUCUGGAGGUGGAGGUGGAGGUGGAGAUGGUGA
rnacentral:lncRNA from 1 species